UUUUCUUUACUAUGUUUUGUGUAAUUAGUUCAUGGUUUGUUUACAUGCCUUUUGGAAAUGUUAAUUGGAAUUACUCCAGUAGAUUUGUAUUUCGAAAUCUAAAUAGAACAAUAGAUCUGGUUUAGUUGGUUAAUUUCUUUUGUGAUGGAAUAUGAUCAUUGGUAUUUGUUAUCUUUCUUGUUUGUUUAUCUCUGGGAAGAUGGAUUGUUCAAUGUGCUCAGACCAAAACUUCUUAGGUUUUAAAUCCUCUGUAUUUGUACACAUUUGAGCACCAAAUCAUGAUUAUUUCUUCUGUUAUGUGUGCAAAAUUUCUGAACCUUGAACUUUGAAAUUACUUGAUCUCAAAACCAUUUAACAUGUCCUGCUGAUUCAUUUAAACACACAAUGUGCAGCAGAUUGUUUGUUGAGUUUCUUGAACUUCAUUGCAUUAUUUGGGCUCUUUUUCUAUAAUUUUAUACAAGGCCUAAAUAGGUCAAACUGUUUUACAAAGCCUGUCACAUAUCCAGAUCCAAAAAGAUUGAGGCCUUUGUAGUAAAUUAUCCAGCCCAACAAUAUUAAAAGGUCUGCAGUCCCUUCUGGACUGCUGGCAAGUGGCAACUGGCCCAAAGAGAUCUGGCUGAAUACGAGUGCUAUGUCAGUUAUGCCCAAAGCCCCAAAUGCCCUAUGUAUCCGAAUAAUAUUGUUUUUUUUAUUAUUGGCAAGCAGGGUUGAGAGGACUCUUACCAUUUUAAAUUACGUGUGAAAACUUAUAUCAACACAAUAUUACGUGAGAGGGGUCCUACAAUUUAGCCACAUACUCAUUCGCAAAACAAUAUUGUUUGUUCAUUUUUCAGUUUUGUCACGAUUGUUGUAUACACAUUGUUAGUUUUUGUUAUCUGGGUCAUGAUAAUACUAAACAACAUGCAUUGUACAUAAAAAUAUUGAACCAAAUGUAGUAAGUUUAGAUAAAUGGAUGAUUAAGCAGACCAUGUGAAGUAUUAAAAAUAGGUAGUUAGAAUGUUAAGCAUGGGAUGGUUUAGAAUUAGAUAAGGGUCUUCUCAGACGUGUUCCUUUGACAUUAAAAUAUAUUGAUGAUCAGUAACCAUUAUUUUGGUAGUUGGCAUAGUUGAAGUAUUUGAAUUGAAAUAUUUCUGUGAGGAUACAUUAAUUAUUGUACUAUGUCCACCAUAUAUUUGUGAACCGUGAACGUUGGACCCCAAACACCUAUCCACCCCCCACAUCCUCCUUUUAUGGGUUCUUUUUGCCAUUAUGUAGGUGUAUUUUUUGUGCGAAUAUGCUGCUUACAUGAAAUUCCAAUUAACCUCAAGAGUAAAUGAAUUAAACUGAUGAUUGUUUAAAAAAAGUUGACUACAUUUGACAAAAUAGUGUUUCAAAGUCUCAGCACAAGUAUAAGUACCAUACUCGUUGCCGUGGGUUGAGUUGAGAGUUGAGUGGACUUCAACUAUUCAGUAGGGGUGAAGAUCAGAAGAUGUUCAAGGUAAAAGACAAGCUGGGCCUUUUGAAGAGCUAAUAAUAAGCUCAUGCUUGUGAGCCAGCAACAACUGAGUGUGACAUUUCAGUCAUUAUUUUUGGCUUCUAGUUUGCCUGUUUUAAUGAUCUUUGUUGGCAUUAGCAAGUCCAUCUGUUGUAUUUGAUUGCAUGUGGGCCGAAUCAUGUGUACGUUCCCAUAAAUUUUCUGACUCACAAUUGUAAACAACUGAGUGCAUUCUCCUCUUUGUUUGGUUGAAAAGUAUGUACUUAACAUUUCAACCUGGCUAAUAAUUUCUUAUACUGUAUAUCAUAGUAGCCUUCAUCUGCCGAUCAAAGUUUUGGAAAAACUGGUCAACAAUGCCAUAUCAAAGUUGGUUUCAUAGAGGUUGCAGAACUGCAGAAGGGGACUGUUGGUGAAUUCACAUCUCAUUAUUAGUUGAGUGUGUACCCGCAGUGGCUCGUGACUUUUGUAACUCCGCUCACAUGUUUGGUUUAAAAGCAUAUGUCUACCACUUGACCACUUGAUCGAUCAAGUAAAGAUAAUUUUAUCAAUUUCCAUUUUUUUUUUCUUGUGCACAAGAAGAUGUUCAAUUACCAGUGUUUUACUAAUACUGUAGUUUGAUAAAUCCACGAAUUAAACAUGAAACAAACCUCCAAAAACUAAAAUUGUUGUUUGUUGAAGAAAUUAGAGAACACUUGUUUCAUGUUUCAAUUAUUUAAUGGAAGGUAACAAACUUCAACUAUAUCUUAUAUCUUACAUGUAAGUAAAAUCUAGUAGAACAUAUGUAAAAUAAAUAUAUAUAAUGGGGGUAAUUAGAAGUAUAUUUUUCUGUUUAUAUUAAACACAAACAACAAUUAUCAAAAGAAAACGGGUAAGCUGAGAAAUAAAAAAAAAAAAAAGUAACUUCCCGCCAAAUAGUUAUGUUUAAACUUUGAACUGUUCUUCUUUGAAUCACCAAAGAAGUAGAAUAAGAUUCUAAUUCCUCUUGUUCUUGCUUCCAAACAACAAAGAGAAGUAGAAUAAGAUUCUAAAGAAAAAACCCCAAGCCACAGUAAUCCACAAGCACUGCCACUUAUUCAGAUCAGUUACUCCUUGUUGCUUUAACAGAUCUGGCCCAGUAGUAACACAGCUGGUGUUAGUGAUGCUCACACCUAAUGUUUCACUCAUUGUCUUCAACAAUCUUUCCUUCAACAUGUCAGGAACGGUUGCGAGAGGGGUGCCAUCGAAGAUUUGAGUCCCUCGGAUGAAACAUUUAUUUGGGUCACUGAACUCAUUAUGUAAGACUGCUUCAUAUGGAUACUUCACUAAUGAAAUGAAAUGAAACCAAAUCCAGUAAUCUGGAAUUCGAUCUCGGUUAAUGAAGAAUCCACUGAAGAGAAGGAAGUAUGCGAGUACUGCAACGACGACCACAUAGCCUAUCAUAACAUGAGGGAUUACUCCUGAUAAGAAAGUAACAAAAGAACUACCAGCCCAGAAUGAUGCAAGGAUAAUCAAGAAAUAGAAAAAGAACCCACUUGAUCCACCAGCAAGACCUACUGCCCAGAAAGUUAUUGUCGCAAAUGCAAUAGAAAGAAAGAUUAUAGGAGGUACCGCAGUAAUUGAGCGUGAUAUGCAAUAGGAUGAUCGGCGAUAAGCAUUGUAAGCAGUCUCUCGCAUAAAGAUGAAUCUCUCUUGAAGGAAUACUGGGAGAGCAUCAGCACAAGUGUAGUAUGUAGUCGACAUAGCAAAAGCAAAAAAUCCUAUUCUUUCCUGAAUCCCUCUAGGCGAAUUGUCUAGUUUCCAGAACAUUGUAGCCAAGAUGAAUCCAGUAACCAUAACAGCACCUAAUCGAACUCCAAAUAACUCUGGCAAUCGCCAUGAAUUCAUUAUAGACCGUUUCGAUAGAACUACAAUUUCUUUCCACAUUGGAUUUGCAAAAGUCGCCAUAGUUGAUGAAGAGUUGUUAUUAGUAGCACCAGACACCAAUUUCCCUCGCGAAAUGCUUGCACUAAUCGCAUCUUUAAGCGAUAACCCUGUUCGAUCAAACUCAGAUUUCCUUGACGAUUUCAAAUUCAUCCAUGAUUUAUGAAAUUCCACCAAGCUUUUAGUCCCACCAGGAGAAACUUCAAGCUCACGAAUCAAAUCGAGCGCAAACUCAGUUCGAUUCUCAUUUUCCGGUAUUGGAUGACCGAACUCAGCAAAGUAUCCUGGAAUGUUUGCAGGUGUUCCACUAUAAACAGUUUGUCCUCUUGACAGAAAAAUCAAUCUAUCAAGCAAACCAAUAAUUCGAUAACUCGGCUGAUGAAUCGACAUGAUGACAAUACUUCCACUCUGAGCAAUCCUCUGUAAAACCUUCACCACCAUGAACGCACUCGUCGAAUCAAGUCCUGACGUUGGUUCAUCAAGAAACAAUAUAAUUGGAUCAUGAAUAAUAUCAAUACCAAUUGAAACUCUUCGCCUUUCGCCACCUGAAACACCUCUAUGACCUUCAUCACCAAUGACAGUUUUCGCAGCGUUUCUUAGCCCUAAUUGAUCAAUUAGAGCUUGAACACGAGCUUUCUUCUUAGACUUGGAUAGCGAACGCGGUAAUCUGAACUCUGCUGAGAACAUGAGUGUUUCUUCAACUGUUAACAUUGGAUAAAGAAGAUCAUCCUGCAUUACAUAUGCAGAGAUCACCUUCAAUAAACGAGAUUCUAAUGGUUCUCCAUUCAAUUUAACUGAACCUUUUAAACUUCCUUUGGCAAUACGAUUUGCUAACGCAUCGAUUAAUGUCGAUUUCCCAGAUCCACUAGCACCAAGAACUGCCAUAAUUUCACCAUCUCUUGCUUGACCGGAAAUGUUAUUCAAAAGAACUUUUGAAUUCAAAGAUUGAACAUCAACUGUUUCAUCAACAGCUCCGAGACGAUUUUUCCGGCGAAAACAAGUUGAGAAUUCCAUUUUCCGACGAACUUUCACACUGUAAGUUAAAUUAGUGAAAGAAAGAACAAAAGGUAAUGAUCUUGCUUCGAGAUUUGUAGUAAUAGUAGUAUUGUUACUACCCAUCUCGAUGACUUGAUGAUGAACUGGUGUUUGAUCUCCUUCUUUUCUACUUGAAUCUCCGACGAGUUUUAAUAACUCACCGAGUGUCGGAGAUAAUUGUCCGAUUGAAUUCUGAGGAUCGUAAUCGUCCAUCUCUAUUGCUUGUCUUCGUGAUGAAAAUCCUAAUCUCGAGGAAAUACUCCUCUCUGAACCUAUACAAGACAUUUUCUUUUCUUUCUCUUUUGUUCUCUCUAUAUAACACACACAAAGCGAGUUUGUUAACGGUAACGGAAAAGCGUUUAAGUUUCCAGGUUUACGGCAAAGAAGGUGAACCGUCAAGUGAAUGAAGUUGAUAUAUCAUAUAUGGAGUAUUUCUCUCUCUCUCUCUCUCUCUCUCUCUCUCUCUCUCUCUCUCUCUCUCUCUCUCUCUCUCUCUCUCUCUCUCUCUCUCUUUCUCUUUCUUGUUCAGAUUGGAAGUGGGUUUGAAGACAGUAGAGCAACUUAAACUCUGUGACUGUGAAUCUGUGAGAGUGGAGAGAGAGAGAGAAAGAAAGACACUUAAUUUGCAGUUGCAUGGUUGGUGUAUUUAUAGCAUUUGAACCUAUAAAACUAAAAGUCUUAUCUACACAUAAUUAUGUACUCCAUGUAGUUGGUUUAGGAGGUACUCAAAACUCUGUAUCUUCCUUUUCGUUUUUAUUUUGGUGGCCAAUAUAUGGCCACCAAAAAUUUACAGUAGCAAUUUUUUAGCCAUUGAUCAUAUAAUGAUUAAACAUCAAGAUAUAUGAUUGUUGAAAUAUAAAUUUUAAAAUGUUCCACCUGAUUUUUUAUUCAGGUAUGUUGUUCGUAAAGUUUUACCCAUGAUCGCAUGGAAUGUAAUAUAUAUUUACAGUAUAUGAAAAUGUAUUAUGUAAUUUCAAGUUUAGGGUAUGUUGUAAUUUAGUGAGAAUGAGUUAUUAAGAUGUGGGUAUAGAAGAUAAGGUGAUAAUUAAGUUUGAUUUUGGUGUUGAGAAUGUGACGGUGAGAUGAAUAUAAUGUUGAGCAACACCCUCCUACUUUCUCCCCUAAUUGAUAAUUAUUGACAAAUAAGAUGAUGACACAAAUUAGAAUUGUUUCUUCAAUAAUGUUAAAGUUGUUAUUAGUUGAGCAUGUUUAUCAAUUGUGUCACUGUGAUUAAUUGGAGUACGUAAAGCUUUAAAGAUUAUGGUUACAUGUUUGACUUGUUUUUCAUUCAUUCUUCUGUAACCCAAAAAUGGUCAAAUGGAUGAGAUGGUGCAGAGAUAAACUCAUACAUAGAAGAUAGUUGUACAAAGACUGGAAAACAUUUACUUUUGGUUCUAGAUGAGCCAACACUUCACCAAAUUGUGAACUAACAUACACCUAUAUAUUACCUGUUUUGUAAUUAUUUAUGUCGAUUUGAGAUUAAAGCAUUUGGACAAUUGGACCACAUGAGAGUUGAGACAUAGACCAAAAACAAAUACACUCCAAUAGUCCAUAUUGCAAUUUCCUUUUCCUCAUUAAAUCCUUUGCACCACUUUUCUUAGAUUUUUAUGUGAUUACGACCUACUUUUUCUAUUAUAGGAGUUGAGUUUGGUUCCUGUCAUUCUCAUGCUUAACUAAGCAAAUUCUAUUAAGUUAUAUUUAACCAUAACCAAAUAAAAUAAAAUUGGUAAAAAAAAAUUAAUUUUUGCUUAUGGUACUGGUUUGCUUACUUGUGGGAAAGGAGAAAGAAGUUGUAUAUCAUAAAAAAGUCUAACUCAGUCCAUUUGUGGGAAGUGGCAACGUGGAGGGAGGCAUAUUAUGGUUGGGGGUUGAGAGUUGAUUGCAAACUCGAUCAAGCAUAAGUUAAGUUUCAUGCAAUUUAGAGGACUUGGACCCCUCAAUGUUGACGCUUGAUUGGUUUGCUGACGUAGAGCUUUAACCAUGAAUUGCAUUUAUAUUGGAGAUGUAUUCACUAUUCAGUAUUGUAUGCAUGUGGUUAUGGCCCAACCUUAUUGAAAAGUACAGAAUUCAGAAAAAUACAACCAUUGAUCUUGAUGUUUUUCCCUUUGAGAUCUUUUUGAUAUAAGAUGUGAAUGAUUUGGGGAAAAUAAUGACCAAGACUGAUAGGAAUGUAAUGUGUUCUCAAUCCUUAAGGCUUAAGAAAUGUUGUUAAUUCGAUGGAUGAGUCUGAAAUGCUGUUCAUACUUCAUAUGUCUUAGACCCAAAAUAAAUGAGCUUUUGCUAUAGUAGAAACUAGAAAGAAUUGUGUUAAAUGGUGAUAUUGAUUGGUGUUUAGUUUCAACAAAGCAGUUGAACAUGUUUGAUUGAUUGCAUGAUAUGUAUGUGUAAUGUGUUUACUGACUCUUAUUGCUUUUUACUUAAUUUUAACUUCUUUCCAUAAAUGGUACCACCACAAGUCAUUUGUGUUCAACUGUUAAUCAAAGAACAUAGAAAACUUAAGCUCAGCAUACACUACUUGCAGGAAAGUGCACUUAACUUUUCACUAACUAUGUAACUUGACUAAUGAUUCUAUAAAUUAUAGCCAUAAAAAGAUGAUAUGGAAGUCUUAAUCAGGUUUUUGUAAUUUGCUCUCCCUAAUGGAGUUUCCGUCUUUCCAGGUGGUUUUGAGCAUGUCAUCCAUUUUCCUUUUAUCUCCAAGUUAACAAUUUCUCUCAUAAUACAUUUCCUUAAAAGAAGUCCUACAAAUGGAAGAGUCUGUUUGAUUAGAAGUCCUUUAAAAUUAUUUUUUGGGCAAUCUCACAAGAAGCCACACUCUGACACUUAGAAUGUGAAGAGAGGCAAGGCUGAAAAUCUUUUACAAGGGAUACUCAUUAAUGAUUUUUGGAAGAAAGUUCAUCAUGCAAAAGAAGGAUGCAAUCUAACCAGAUGUAUAUAGAUAUAAAUAAAGAAAAGGAUAAGCGAAUAUCCAUAUACUGUAUAUGAACCACAAAGAACUCUAAAAUAUCCUUUAGGCUACAAAAGUGCUAAAAUUCAAAUACACAUUAUACAUGAAAUCCAGUGACCAGUGGUGUGGAGAUAAGGAGAUUAAGCCUUGUAGGCUAAGGUUUCCAAGGUUCCCUCAAUAGAAGGAUAUACAUAACAUUUGUUUUUAUCAUAAACUACAAUCACACAUUUAUCUUUCCAAAACAAAUUGACUGAGAAAAAUGUGACCCAACCAAACUGAUAGUAGCUUUUUGAUGCUUCCUGGCUCCUGCAUCAUAAUAUUAAAAGGAUAGACUUUUUAUAGCUUGAUUUGUUUACUAAGUGUUUAUAAUGAAGAAGAUGAUAAUUUAAUGUGUGUUUCCUCUACAGAAUUGGUCAUGGUCUUUCUUAAUUAGGCCCCAUAACUGGGUAGGUUAUUCAGGUCUGUGUAGUGAUAAUUUCUAUUUUCUAGUACUAUAACAUGAUGGGUAGGUUUUUGUACAAGAUUGUUGAGCAUUUGCUUCAAAAUGAAUGUAAAAUCUUUCCCAAUGAGAUAGGAGUAUAUAAUGUACAUUCGAGUCGAAGCUAUACUGCUCUACUUCUCUGUGCAUCAAUUUGUCGUGCAGUUAAAAAUAAUGGCUUAUAGAGUUAGAGGUUGUGAGCCAGGAAUGAAGGAAAACGACCAACAACAUAAUGGCUUAUAGAGUUAUAGGUUGUGAGCCAGGAAUGAAGGAAAACGACUAACAACAACAUUGUAGUAGUGGUCGGAUGGUGUGUUCUCUACUGUAAGUAUGUGAAAUAGGAAGGUGUUCGCACUAUGGGAAUGCUCCAUGAGAAACUGAGACUUCAAUUCCUUCAAUAAAGUCAAGCCAGCCCACUCAAUAGUUUCAAAGCUUAACUCAGUGCUGAUUGCCAGUGAGGACACUACUCAAAUCAAACCAAGCAUAAAUGAACCUUGGGAGUUUGGGUACAACCCAUAACCUUAUUAGUGAGAAACAAUCACUUGAAGUGCAGAUUUGGGUUGUUAACACUUGCGUACUUCAGAAUAAGAAACUCAAUCUUUUUGCAUGCUUCAAUUAUUUUAAGUUAACCUGCCCACAUUAUCAGAACUCAGUCCUAUUGUAGCAUAGAUGCCAUACAGAAGAGAUCAAUGAGGUAAGCUAAGGGUGGUGUAUUCUCUUUUUCUGUAUUUGAGCACCAAAAUCCUUCAAACCAUAUUCCAACACUUUGAUCCAUAUUUUCCAGUUGGGUUUGGGCCAUGUCCUUUCCAUGACCAAAAAAGACAAGCUGUCUCAUAAUUAAUGCUUUUCGUGUGGAAAAUGAAGCAUUUGAGCUAAUUUUGUUAUCAAGUGUUGAAAUGUCAAUCAUCAUCAUCUGAUAUCUCAUUAAUUCUCAUACCUUCCUGCAAGUUAUAAAUUCUCGAUUGGUACAAUUUAUAUACAAGAUACUGAUACAGUACUAUGCUACCAAAUAAAUAAAUAUUAAAAAGUGAAAAGAUAACUAAAGGAGUAAAUCUUUAUCAAAAAAAUAAAUAAAAAAACCUUAACAGUAAAUAUUUUGCAUAUUUGAGUGGAAUAAUCCAAACAGGUAAAAGAAUGCUUUCCUUCACAUUUAUAGGUCAAAAAUGAAUUCAUGUGGUAUUCUGAAAGUCUAGCAAGCCAACCAAUCCAUCAAUUUCAUUUGGGUGUCUCUGAGUUUAAAGUUUAAGGGAUGUCCAGAUCCCUUGCUCACAAUUUAUCAUUUCUUUUCGAUAAUCAGUAAAUCAAUAACCCUCAAAGCAGAAAAGAAUGAGAGUUUUAUAAUAAAGGUAAACAGCCACUUAGACAGGCAUCUAGGCUGGAGAGUCGAACAUGGGACUGAAUCCAGAGAAAUUUCUCUUUCCCCCUCGGUUAGAUCUCACUCGGUCUUGGCCUUCAAUGAUUUCCUUCUAUUUGAGGUACGCAGACCACUUGUACACCUUCCCACAAAUUUGAGGAUCUCAUCGAUCAAGAUCACAGGUAAAGCAACAGCCAACACUAAGAACCAUUCAUUUAGACUGAGAGGCACAAUGCCAAACACUUGUGCAAGGAAUGGAACGUAGAGGAUCAAGAAGUGCAAGCCAAAGGAAACAGACAUGGCCACAAGAAGCCAUGGAUUGACCCAUGGGGGCAUCACUAGGAGGCUUCCAUCCUCGGACAACGCGUUGAGAGAGUUAAACAUCUCAAUUGAAACCAAGACAGAAAGCGAAAGGGUCAUGGCCUUCACUUUGCCUGCCUGGAAAUAGUCACAGGGGUUGGCAUCAAAGGAGAAUACCUGACCCCCAGCUGUGAAAGGUGAAACUGUGAAUCCCUCCCAAGAAGGGCACUGACCCCAGUUGGAGAGCUGGGAAUAAGUAACCAGGCUGUGGCCAUCCCCGCUUAAGUCAAUUCCCAAGAAAGAGCUUUGUGUAAACCAUAUGAUGAAGACACCAACAGUCGCUAUCCCAACAUAUAGUCCAAUGACCUGUACAUGGAUUAAUUAAAAAGUUAUACAAGGGAUACAUGAACUCCAAAAUUGACCCUUCCAAAGAGUGCAAAUUGAGUAUCACAAUUAAAUCAGUCUGCAAGGUGGGAUGUAAUUAAAAGUAAAUCAUGUGCAAGGCCAAAAGGACUUACCAAGUAGCGGAAUAAAAUCCAAGCACUUAUUAGUGAGUCAUCACUUCUUCGAGGAGGUUUCUUCAUGAUAUCUUUAUCAGGUGGAUUGAAUCCCAAAGCUGUAGCAGGGGGACCAUCAGUUACGAGAUUGACCCACAAAAGCUGAACAGGGAUAAGGCCUUCCGGAAUGCCUAAUGCUGCUGUUAAAAAUAUAGACGCAACCUCACCAAUAUUUGAGGAGAUCAUGUACCUGAAACAAUAUUAGUAUUUUUCAAAAUCAAACUUCCAAAUGAAUGUAUCUGAAAUAAUAAGAAAUUAUGGGAAAAAGAUCAAGAGAACUUGGUAUUAGUUGAACACUCAAAUCAAUAGAUAGAUCAGUAGAGUAUCUGUGCACUUCUAUAUACAGUAAGAAUCCUAGAAAUUCAUAUCUAGCUGUACAAAUAGUAAACCAAUGAAAAAGUACAAAACAGUGGAAGCAGAUUAUUUGAAUAUUUAACUACAGCUGCAGAGAUGUUCUAAAAGUAGAAGAGAAGGAAAAUGCCUUAUAAAAGCUUUCAUGUUGUUAUAGAUAGAUCUCCCUUCGCCAACAGCAGAAACUAUCGUACUAAAAUUAUCAUCAGCCAAGACCAUGUCAGAAGCUUCUUUAGCGACCUGGGAAAAAAAUUUAUUAGGUACUCUUCAGAAAAGAGGUAAGGUAAACAAACAAUAUAAGUAAGAAAAACACGGGGAGUAACAGGUUAAGAAUAGUUAUAAUGCAAUUGUUUGACAAAACAUAUCCACUAUGUAGUAUGUACACAACAUGAAAUUGCAGACGACCACAACACAACAUUUGCUAGACCUUGAGAACGAAAACUUGAGUAUGCAAGUGCAUGACGAUGAGAGUUGUUUACACCCAAAUUUGGUAUAGACUGGAUUGUAACUAAGAUCUUCCUUAAAGAGAACUCUCCUAGAUUGCAAUUACAAAAUAAUAAAAGAAAAACAAGAAACAAAUUGAUGAAAUCCAUAUGAAAUAACAAAACAUCGGACAGCCAACAGGCCAUUUGUCGAUGCCAGAAGAUUUUCAAAGGUAUACAAGUAUAAUACAACCCUAUCCUUGAACGAUACACAACUACAGUAUCUAAGAACAGGUAAUUAACCAGUGGAGCUUGACGAAUGUUUCCACAGAACAACGAUAAUAAUGUCUCUGAGAAGUUGUGGCAUGUAAUACUAAGAAUGUAAGCAGUUUUACCUCAGUUCCAGCAAUGCCCAUAGCAAUACCAAUGUCAGCCAGCUUCAAAGCAGGGCCAUCAUUCACCCCAUCCCCAGUCAUUGCCACGACCUCACCAUCUUCUUUCAGUAGCCUCACUAUCUCUUGUUUAUGCCUUGGUUCAGCCCUAGAAAAUAGAAGCCCUCCACUCUGCCUCAAAUGGUUUUUCUGAUCACGAAGAUCCAUAAACUCUCUUCCUGUCAAACUUUUUGGGCGAAUAUCUUCAUGAGGUCCAAAAACACCUAUUUCACGGCAAAUUGCUUCAGCUGUAUGCUUGUUAUCUCCUGUUAUAACCAUUACACGAAUGCCAGCUUCCCUGCAGUCCUCGAUAGCUUUGUGCACCUCUUCUCGAGGAGGAUCCUAUUAGAUUCACAGUUUAAGAAAGCUAGUAUCAGUCAUCUGAAUGUACAAACGAAUUUCAAAAAAGAUCUGCUGGUAUAGAGAAAUGAAUAAAUAGAUGUAUAUACACCCACCCUUAGCCCAACCAAUCCAACAAAAGUAAGACCGGACUCGAUAUUCGAGUAGUUGGCUGGAUUAAGUAAAAGAUCGUGAGCUGGAUGAUCUUCAUCACCAUCAUAUGUGGCAAAUUCAGAAAGAUUAUCCUUGUAAGCAAAUCCCAGACAGCGUAAUGCAGUUGUGGACAUUUCAUGAAGAGACUGAAGGAUAAGCUUCCUUGAAUUCUGAUCUAGCUCUACAAUGGAGCCAUCAAGCAACUGAAGAAAAGAGCUUCUUUCCAACAAAUUCUCCACUGCACCCUGUCACAUGCACAAUAUUUUCAUGAAGCCAGGUACUCAUUUAUUCUUUCAAAUGGUUUCAGAGAAGUAAUAUAGUGCUUCAAGAUCAAUAAGAUACUUCAAUCACUCAAUGGUAGCACAAAAUGCACCGAAAAUGAGAUAAAUAACAUGUUACAAGAUCAGAUUCUAGUCAUGGACACGUGGUACAACCAGAGAUUGGUGUUAGCUUUCAACAUCAUUUAUUUACAAUAUCCACCUAAAACUAAGCCCUCCUAAAAUUUUGCUUGAAAUGUGUCAAAAAGGAAGUUCCAUAGGUUUCAAAGGUGAAAGGUCAUACAUUUCUUACUUUCUUUUGAGUUUUGACUAAUACGAACAUAUGCUCAAUGACUGUGCAAGAUUCACUAAGCAUGAUUAAAAGAUCUUUCUGCUCCAAACAACAGAAAUUUUAACUAGGACAAUGGUAGCUAAAGAAUGAUGAGAAGCAGUACAUAUUGAACUCCAGAUAUGAGUAAACUCAAACUUUAAUAGCUCUUGCAUUAUAAAAAAUGUUACGACAAAACAACCAUGAUAUAAAUUUAUAUAUCAUAAGCUUGUCAUUUAUGAAUUUCUGUUGCUACCAUUCUCCUAGUUAAAAUUGAACCCUUGUGUAAUAUCUACUCCCCAUAACUCAGUGCCAGUUGUAAUCUCUACUCCCCACAAGCUUAUCAUGUAUAAAUUGAAGCCUCGUGUAAUAUGUGAAUAUAUAAGAUCACAACUGGGAGCAAGGAGAUAAGAGAAGUGUGCAAUUAUGUCUAGUUAGAAAUCAAGUUAUUUGCUUUAUGAUGUUAGUACGUAAUAGCAUUGCAAAAAAGGGAGAAGAAAAGCAUAUGAUACCUUCACCAACAACGAAUUUCUUCCUGAAUCUGACUUCGCAAUAACUCCCAUGGACUUACGAUCGCGAUCAAACUCAAGGGUUGCAAUCCGACGUUCGAUAGUAUUCCACCGUUGACAACAGCCUUAUAUAGGAAGAAAGGAUAGAAAUACAAAUAUGUGAAUUUUAAGGCUAAAAAUUCAGAGGAAAAUGUAAUUAGUAUGCAGAGAUUUAACUUACGUAACACAUCAGACGGAAUUGAAGAUGAAUGGUGAGAGCCAUCAGGAUUUCCCAUUUUCUCAACUAAAACCUGAAACAGAAAAAAUAAAUUUCAUAUAUGGAAGGCAAACUUAGUUACUUUUGUUUGAAAAGGGCAAAAGGCAAAGUCCAUUUGUGACAUCAGGAUGACUUGGUUGCAAAAAUUCCAGAUUUUUAUCUUCUGAAUUUUAUGGAAGCAACAAGUAAUCUGUAAUAAGUUCCUAGUGGUUAGUUUGAUCCUUAUUUCUCUCAAACCCCCUCUUAUGCUUCCAGAGAACUAGUUUGCCUUCCUUCGUUUGAUCCUUAUUGUAAAAUAAUAUUCGCACAAAUGAAAAGUGUGGCAGAAAAAAGAGGUUUUACCUUUAGUGCUGCCUCAGUUGGCAUUCCGUUAGCAACAUAGUGAUUCCCAGAUUGUGAAACACCCGCGUCAUUGCACACAGCUGCUAUUUUCGCAAUCAUUUGAAGAUUCACAUCCAUGCGUCCGCUUGGGAAGUUAUGUAUUUUUCCAUCAAUGGGACUAUAUGUAGUCCCAUCGACUUUGAAACUUCGGACCGCAUUUGUACUGGGCCCCAUAGCCACAAGCUUUGCCACUGCCAUCUGAUUAGUAGUUAAUGUACCAGUUUUGUCAGAGCAAAUAACCGUUGUACAUCCGAGCGUCUCGACACUUGGCAACUUCCGAACGAGAGCAUUUUUUUGAGCCAUCUUACGUGUACCAAGAGCCAAGCAGGUUGUGAUAACAGCUGGUAGACCUUCCGGAAUGGCAGCCACUGCCAAUGCUACAGCAAUUUCAAAGUAGUAUGUGCAUUUCUCAAAAGAGAACUUAAAAUUUGCUGGCCAUCCAUCUACAUAUUCCCAAGUAAGAAAGUAUUUGACAUUGAUAAGCCAUACCAACGCACAGAUAAUACCAAUUAUAAUCGUCAGUGACUCUCCAAACUCAUUCAACUUCUUUUUCAAUGGGGUGUCUUCUUCUUCCUGUGCAGCAGCAUGAAUUUGAGAAUGGACCUUACCAAUCUCCGUGUUCAUACCUGUCUGAGUGACCAAACAGAUGCAGUUCCCAUUCACAACUGUUGUCCCAGCAAAGACCAUACAUUUCUUUCCUUGAAUGUCUGUCUCCACUGCAACUGCUUUAUUCGUCUUAUUUACUGCUUCACUCUCUCCAGUCAACGAGCAUUGCUCGAUCCUAAUAGUAGAACUUAUCAGACUCAAAACCCUCAUAUCAGCUGGAACCUUAUCACCAACCCUAAGCUCAACAAUAUCCCCUGGAACAAGCUCCUUUGCAGGCAAAUUAUGAAUCUUUUUCCCUUCCCUAAUCACAGUAGCAUGUUCCGACUGAAUCUCCUUCAACGCUUCAAGCGCCUUCUCAGCAUUACUCUCCUGCCAUACCCCAACAAUGGCAUUCACAAUCAAAAUCAAAAAUAUCACCAAAGGCUCAACAAACGCCGUAAUUCCCAUCUCUCCACCUUCAUCACCAUCAUACCAAGCAAGAACAAACGAAAUAACAGCUGCAGCAAGUAAAAUUCUAACUAAAGUAUCAUUAAAUUGUUCAAGAAUCAAACUCCAAAUUGAUACUCCAUCAUGUUUUUCCAAUUCAUUCAAACCAUGAAUCUUUCUACGUUCUUCAACAUCUUCAACUCUUAAUCCCAAUUCUUUAUCAACCUUAUACUCCAAAACACAUUCUUGAACAUCUUUUGCCCAAACAGGAAAAAUUUCCGGAUCCAAAGGUAUACUUUCUUUACUACUAAUUCUUUUCCCGUAAUCUUCCCCUCCUUUUCCCAUCGAAAUCAACGAAAUUUAACAAUAACAAAACAAAACGAUCUAGAUAUAUAAAACCCUAAUAAUGUCGAAUUUCGAUUAAAAAAAAACAAAAAGAUAAGAACACGAAUCAAUCGAAAUUACUAAACGAGAUUACCAGAUUCGAAGAAGAACGAGUUAAAUCGCUGAGUUAGAAGCAGGUUUCAGUGAAGUUUUGGAAUCGAGAGAGAGAGAGAGAGAGAGAGAGAGAGAGAGUGAAGGUUGGUUGGUUCAUCGAAAACCGUGAGAACAAGUAAGCUAUUUAUAUAUAUAUUGGUUUAAGAAUCCAUCGGAAGGGAAUGACGAAACUUCGUUCUCUACUUCUCUGUGAGUGUGAGGCUUUUCUUUGCAUUUAUUCCACAGAUUCUGUUGCUAAUAUUUCACCUUUUUACCACAUCAUUUCUCCAAUCGUUACUUGCCACGUGGUAUAUUUGCCAUUUGGCUUGAUCACAAGGUUUUUCUUGUUAGAGUUGGUAAAUAGUAAAGUGAUAAACUAAUAAUUACUUUUAAGUCUAAUUUGGUGCUUUUUAGCCCUUGGAAAACCUUUUAUUAAACAACCAGUUGUUGACAUAUUUCGAAUCAAAUCGACAACCUCUUUACAAUAACAACUUGAUUAAACUUGUUAUGUGUUACAUAGUAAAUGUACUUAAAGAAAACAAUAAACAAGCCAAACUGCUAAAAUUUUUGAAAAUUGGCUUGUCAAAACUUUUGUUUAUAAGGUUAAUAUUAAAGAUAUCUCAUGCUAAAAAAAGGAUGUUUUGGAUAUUAGUUUAAACCUAGGAAAAUAAUUGUACUAUCUAUCUAUUAUUGAAUUUGAAACUACUGUAUAUACUUUGUUUGUAUUUGCAAUGGAAUUGCAGAAAAAUGCACAAAAGCAUCCAUAUCAUUCUUCUCAAUGGAGGCAUUCUACAUACACAUAUGUUGGAAAGCCAAAUAAAACGACAAGUAAGUUGACAAUGCUGGUUUUAGCAUCAUUUGGGUUUUUUACAAUUUAAUCUACAUCCCACCAUCUUUUAAAUAACUAUAUAAUAUAUGUCACUAGAAACAUUAAUUUUUAUAUAAAAUUGUUCUAGUAGUAUUGGGUUUUUAGUAUAUAUAGAUUCCAUAAAAGUUUUAUGGAAUGGUUUUAUCUUGUUUAAAUAGCCCAAAACAAAACACAAGUCAAUUGAAUUACGGCUCAAAAAAAAUGUUUGAAAGCAAAGUUGCAACAUAUGUUUAUGAAUUAUACAAAUCAAUAGCUUGAGAAGCACGACUUGAGUUGACAUGCUCUCUACGACUAUACUUCUCUAUUCUCUACUAGCUACCACCUUGGUUGGUGCCCUAUGUGAAGUGGGUUGAUUUGAGCAUAUAUGAUGGAAUAACUUGUCGAUCACCUAUUCGUUUCUUUAUGCUUUCGCAUGACUUUGGUUAGCAAUUUGGUAUCAAGUAAUGUCCAUCGAUCACAUUACCAACCAUUUUUCCAUUUUUGGUAUCGUGUCCUGGAUUAGAUCAUAAAAAGUGAAAGUGAACUAUGGGGAACCAGAUUAUUAGAGUGUUCAACACAAAAAAUGCAAGUAUUCCAAAGUAUAUAAAUGAUUAGUAAAAUCAAGCUACAGUAUAUAGAUGAGUUGAGAUUGGCUAAAAUUAUAAGUGUGUGGAAACUGGAAACUCAAUAUUCCAAAUGUGCGAGUCCUUUAAAUGCAUUGUACGUGAUAUCUAUUAACGCAUACAUGACAUUUGUCCAUCUACACCUAUGACAUAUUUGUUGGUAUUGAUGCUUUUCUCUAACAUAUAAGCCAACAAGAACAGUAUUUGAAAUUGUUGUUUAUGUUUAUUUCGUCGAAGAUGUUACAGUAUUUGAAAUUGGGAUAUUCGAGAAAAACCAAACUCUUCAGUUGAAUUGAAAUGCUUGUAAUUAGUCCGACCAUGAUCAUUGUGGAAUGUGGAUGGCUAAAGCCACGGCUUUGGAUCAUUUUUCCAGAACGGAGCGAAAAUACAUAGUUCACAUCAUGCUGAUUUACUGCUGCGUGAUUAGUGUUCCAGCAAUUUGAGAAAGUUUGAAAAGCUGACUUUGGGACUGACACUAUCACAUUUUACCUGUUUUACACAAUCACACAAAGAAGUCAUGCGUUCAGCAUUCUACUUGAGAAUAUAACGUAAGUGCAGAUUCUAGUGAUAGUUCAUUGCAAAAAGAAAUGUGUCCUAUCGUGUAGCAGCAGUGUAUUUUCUUCUCCAUCCAUACUGUUGCUUUUCGAUUAAAGGUUGCAUAAUUGAAAACGUCCAACAGCAUGGCUCCUACUGCAAUUGAUAACAUUCUUCUUAUUUCAAUACUGUAUUAUACCACUAUGAAAACACCCAGGCUUUUUCUGCAACUCUGCAGAUAACUGGGAAGUUACAUUAAUUAACAGAACACAGUCUGAAAGUAAACCUAUCCUAUCUUGAUGAAAAUGAUCACCCAUAUCAUAAAUUCGUACCUUUCUUUCUUCCUGUCAGAGAUUAGACAAUGAAAAACACACAUCAGACUUAAUUUUGUUUUGGAAGGACAGGAGCUGGAAUAAUUCCCAAUCUCUUCCGGACAUCCUCUAGAUCCUCGUCAAAAUGCCGUUCAUAAUAUACAGAGAUGAGAUCUGUACAUCGCAAACCAGCCUUCGUGGCCCAUGGGAAGUAGUGCUGGAAAAAUAGUGCUCUCUGCUUCUCAUUGAACCUGACUGUUCCUCCAACGACUGAAAGUACACACAUAGGGAGGAGCAUUUGCUCGAAUUCUAUCACCUUGAGAGCUGACUCGCCAAUUAAGUUGGUAGGGAGCCCAAAAAGCGUAUGCCAGAAGUCAUGAACUUCACGAGCCCGCAUGGCAACAUAUGCCAGCUCUUCUGAAUCCAUGAACCGCACUGGUGGGCGGUCGUCCGGAGAAAAGUUCCUUGAUCCCAUGAACCUUGCAUAUGCUGCGCCAAAUGUGUUUUCUGGUAGGUCCCAUGCAUGCCCCACAUUAGAAGAUAUAACACGAGGGCGCUCCAGAAGUAUGGCCUAUGGAGAAUGAGCAUAAUUGUUCAAAAUGUCAAUGACAACAAUAAAAUGAAGAUCCAUCUAUUUACUGUACAUAGGAAAUCAAACAAACAAGAUUCCCGAGUACCCAACAACCAUGGUUAUGUUUUUUAUGAACUCAAGUGUAUGGCCAGUUUUUCGAAAAAGAUUUAAGUAAUACAGUUCUUAUAUGAAGGUCCCAGAUACCCAUAUUAUAGAUCUCACAAAGUAUGGAAUUCUCGCCUGAAGCCCUCGUUCUUUACGUAAAACCACGUGAUGUGGUGCUACACUUUCUUUUAAUUUAUACAACUAUUAUACAUCAACCGACCCCCUUACCCUCGUAAACACCUCCUUCCCCUUCUUCCACACCCUUCCCUGGUCAAGGUGGGAGGCCACCCCAAUACCUCGAGGCCCAAGCCCCAAGGCUUGACGAGUGAGCCACUAAGCAUCAUCUUGACUUCAUAUAGGGUUCCACGAUCUCGCACAUUUGAACUUGCAUUCAAAAUAUUUUCAUUAAGUGAUCCUAACACUCACAAGGCCUCCAGAAUGAUUGUGUGCAUAUACAGAAGAACCAAGUGAAUGAAUGAAAGGAGGGAUUCCGGCCUGAACAAAAUGCAGGAAAGGAAACAAUAAAGGAAAAAAAAAAACCUAGUUGAUAAUCUGGCUAUACAAUAGGUUUUAUCACCUCAUCAAGCUCUUUAUGAAUUAUAAAGUUUAACACAUCCGAACGAAAUGAAUAAAGGUACACUUGGUGCAUUGGAUAUGUAUGCACCACAUGUUCAGUCUGAUUGAUCCACUUUCCAUAAUAAGUUUGAACCCACUUGACAUAGCAAUUCAGUCUGAUUGAUGCAUAUGUGAAGUUGUCAAGACCAGUAUGCAUGGGAGACAGUCUUUUAUUUUCAUUGACAAUCCUGGUUCCCUCAAAAAAUAAAACAAAAAUAUUUCUCUGCCAUUUUCUUUAUCCCCCCAAUCUUAUUUCUCAUAUCAAUUACCAAUAUUGACUCACCUUUAACACCAGACCACAUCAAUUGUCAUUCGGACAUUGAGCCUACAAUGUUAUCAUGAAUUACUUUUAAGUAUAAACCAUCCUGCAAUAGCUUCCUUUACUAGCCAUUGAUCAAGGUAAUGGAAAAGACAGUGCAGUUGAUACGAAGAUAUUGGCGCGACAAUGUUAGAUAGAAGUACUCAUUGCAGUAAUUUACAAAGAGUAAGUUAUCUCCCAAAAUGUUAAUAUGAAGCGUGUCGAGACAAUGUUCAGUCGGAUAUGUACAAUCAGUUUAACCUUUUAAUCCAAUAAGUAUUAAUUCUCUUCAAUUUUAAAAUUUUGUCUACAAAAUCCCCUUAAUUUAAAUACUCAAAACUACUAUUAUAUUGAUCACAAUUCAAUAAAAAGACUACCAAUUUAACUAUUCAAGGUUAAAUAACAAGAAAUGGGAAGAUGAGUUACUCUGCCUUCUGGGGUCAUUUUCAUUCUUUGAAGAACUCUUUCAAAAAAAGGUUUUCCAGUUGUUUCACCUAAUGCCGCUAUUAAAUCAGCUCUUCUUGGAUCCAAAAGUGCACCAAAUGCCGAACCCAAUGCAACUGCUGCUUGUUGCCACCCCUUUAGCCGAAUAUGCCCACCACCACCACCACCACCACCACUACCUGCUACCAUUUCUCCACUUCUCAGAAACAGUUCUAAUUCAAUCUAAUUCAUUGAAAAGAUAAAAACUUUUAAAGUUCAGGAAAGAAGAACGACAGUUUAUGAGAGAAGGUCAGAAGGUGAGAGCGAGUUUUUGGGGUGGUUCGGCAUUAAUGCAUUAUUAUCGCCUCUGUUUGACUCAAAUGCCGCUGAAUAUGAAGUGGAUAGAAUUUGGACUUUGGAUACUCAACAUAAACCCAUUGGGCCACAAAAAGCCCAUGUAGAAUGAUUUAGGGUUAGUGGGCUACCCAGCCCACAACAGUGAUGACUGAGUCACCAUAUCCUUAUUUUGAUUUUGCUAAGCAACUCUUCCAUAAUAUUUUUCUUGAUUUUGUAAAUCAAGUUAUCAAGAUAUGGUGAAAGAGAAGGUUCAUGGAGACUCAGAGUAAUAUAAUAUUGGCCUGCAUGCUACUCAUCAUUGAUCUCCUUAAUAUCAAAAAUAAAAACAUCAUAAUCAAACCAACUGAAGUAUGGAUUAUAACUUGUACAACUAUCCUUAAAAUAUACUAAUACACAACAAAAAUGUUAUGUAAACCCCCAAAACUAACAAAUUUUCACUUAUAAAUGAUCACAUAAUCCAUUAAUUUAAUCAUCAAACUCUCCAUUAAAUCAUCUCAUUACAAUGAACCAUUAAUAGGUAUCACUUCAGUUGAUCUGGGUUCGAUCCUCGCUGUUAAAAAAACGAAAAAUAAAACAACCCCUUUCGACUUUCGAGAGUGGCCUGGCAUGGGCAACAUGAGCUAAUACAACAACCUGGAGUAUAGAAAUUGUAAUGUAUCUUUCUCUACGCCUACCACAACAAAGCAGAAAUUAACUCAUUACUAAUGAUGCUAUAUCAUUCCAAAUACUUAUCCAGAUACGCACUAACUAAGUUUCCACAUCUAUCUUUCUUCCCAUCUAAGCUUUUUCCUUUUGGCCUUUUGGGUUUAUAACCAACAACUCCAUUUCAGAAAUCUGAUCUUCUGAGUUUUGAUAACAAGACACUACAUGAGUUCCAAGUGCAUAUCUAGCUGUGUGGAUGAUGCUCGGGUACCUGUCAGAGCAACUUAUGUGAAUCUAUACAAAUGGCCAGAAUCUGACGCGGAAUUCGUGAAGUGGGUUAGUUCGAAUGUGCCAAAGGAUGGGAAGAAUUGGAGUACUACUGGCACUUCACCAAGAGUGGUGGAUAGUAUUUCAUGUAGACAAAUGUACUUGAGAAGUUAUACAUUUUCAAGAGAGGAAACUGUGCCAGAGAAGACUAAGAAGUGUUUUGGCAGAGUUAAAGGAAAAGCUGGUCACGAAAAGAGAAGAAAAGUUGGUGGUGGUGAUGGUGAUCGUGGUGGUGGAAAGAAGUCCACAGGAAUGAAGAGAGUAAAGCAGAUAUCAAUGGCUGCAUUCUGCUCCAUCUUCCAUAGAUUAUUGUCGUGCACUACUAGUGUUGAUGUGGUGGAUUAUUGAUUUGCAGAGUUUUCAGUGCUGCUUAUGCAAGUUCUUCUGGAUAGCUAUAAUGAUUUGGGGAAAAAUUUGCGAUUCAUGUACAUUUGCAGGUGUUUGUUCUGGAAAAUUUUAUUCUAAUUUGCUUAAUCUUGUUUAUUUGGUACAUUAUGGAUUGUGUUUAUCAAAGAAACAAACAUAUCUGUAUUAUUUUUAGAAGGAUAACAUAAUUUUCGGUCGCAAUAGUAGUUCAUCGCUGAUUAACAUGCAACUUAAUUUGUUCUGUCAAGCUACAACUGGAAAUCAAGAGAUUUAAUACAAUAUUACAUGUUAAAUGUUGCAAAAGUAGUCUGUUAUUGAAUCAGAUGAAUUUCAUGUCUGAUUACAUUGAUCAAUAUACAACCAGAAGUGUGUGAAAGUGUGAAACAGUGAGUUAUCCUACUUGUUUUGUGUUUAUGUCUGCUAGUUCAGAGGGAACUAUAGUGCGAUUCAUGGCUCGAUGGUGCUCUGUUAAGGUGGUAGACAGGUAUAGUUAGACUGUUAGACAGCUGAGUAGGUAUCUUUCCUGAUUUAGGAAUGUGGAAUUUCCUCAUUUGAAGAGAGAUUUGCUUUCCAUAUUUUAUGAUCUUCCUUCACAAAAUUUAGUCCAAGCAUCUGGAUUCUGUAGAUCAAACUCAGCAUGUGCGUCUUUUUGUUUGAACUGAAAUGAUCAAAUGAACAAUCCGAAAACUUUGUCCAAGCAUUAGGAUGAGUAAUUUUCUGAUUAUCAUUUGUUGUAAAAUGAUGUUUGAAAAAUUAUUAACUUUUUAAUCAUUUUCAAUGACUAAUCUUCAAUAUCAUAAUCUGAGGUUCAGGGAACUUUGUUUGGAAAACAGAAUACUUCUGUCAGUUGAACCUUAAUUUGCAGAAGACUAGAGAGAAAUGGAAUUCACACACCAAACAGUCAAACACUGUUGCAAAGAGAGAAAUAGGUCCUCCACACGGCCACACCAAUACAAUCAUGAAAAUAACACUUUAUAUUGCUUGUUGAUAAAGAGAAUUCAAUACUUUUGCUACCUUAGUAUUCCUUGUUCAUUACUCUAAAUCAUUACGACAGACACAAUAAUAAUCCUUUAUAUAAUAAAUUAUAAAUGUUUUCGACAGGCAGGGGCAGGCGGCAGUGAAGAUUAGUGUUGUGUGUGCUUGAUGGUAUGAGUUGUGAUGAUUCAUAUUUGGUGGGGUGUGUUUAGCCCCAGCAAAAUAACCCAAGAAAAAGCUGUUGACACAACGCAGAUUGCAUGGUCUCAUUAGAUUAAUCACAAGAAGGAUUAAAACAUACAGUAUAUUAAUCUUUAAUCUGAUGAGUACAGACACUUUUACAGUUUACUUGCAGGCCUUCAGGGGUGGGGAAACAAAAGACUAGGACAACAGAGAAUUUUGACUAAGUCUCAGAUAAUUGUUAAAGAGCAUGUAAAAGCAGUAGUGUAAAACUACUGCUUACUAGAUGGCUAAGAAAUAUUCUAAAAACUUGUUCAGGAUAGUUUCAGUCAUUGUUGUAGAACAGCAAAGAGCCUGGCCUCUAAUUUUCUGACAAUGAAGCAUGGUUUAGAAUUUCCUUACAUAGCACUGUCUCUAGCUAGUUAUGUAAAAGAACACUUGAUCCUGAGAGGAGGCUAACUCCAGUCUCCAGAUACACACCUAAUUAAGGGAACUUCAACGUUAAAUCACUGCACCCAUUUCACCAACUCAUAUGCAAAACUGUUAAAAACUAUUAAUUCACAAAAUCUAUCCAAUAUACCUAAAGCCAGCAUUUGAUAUCUAGAUGCAAUUUGAAAGCUCAAGGACACACACUCCUUUUUCAACACAUCGUCACUUUAUUUCAGAAAUAGGAUAUCAAGAGUGAAGGAUUUGUCUGAUACACUUACUGGACCGACGCACAUUGUCUUAUGAGAUUACCACUUCUUCAUCCACAACUAAUGAACAAUUCUGAGACUAGCUUUGGGACCUUGUACUACAUUUGGCAUUUAACAACUACCUUUGGAAAAUAUGAUGUCACGAAAGGAAAGAUCAAUAAGUGUGCCAAGAGGAAAAAAAUGUCAUUGUCACAUACAUUUUUUUCACUUAAAAAUCUAUGUUAAGUUUGCAAUUCAUCUCUUCAGUUUCAUAUUAUAUCGUAGUCUUUCAAUGCUUAAUUGGGAUCAACUGUGUAAGCAAGACUGAAAAGAAAAUGACGCUACCAGAUAUUUUAGUGUAAAGUGAGCUUAUGUCCUUCGAAGAAACAUAGUUAUCAUAAGACAAUACCAAUACAAGAAAAAUCAUACAUGUAUUCGAGCAUAAGGAAAAAAUUCAGAAGCAUAACUGAUUACUCACAAGACCGUGGUCAAUCAUAAUAAUCUGUACAUGUAAGAAGGCAUUAAAGAAAGAGAUCAAACAAAACUGUGUCAAAAGGCUUAGACAUUUGUUUCGCGUUUUACCUGCACAUUAGGGAAACCACCAUGCUUUGUGGAAUAUGAAUCUGGAGAAUUAUGAGGUCUCAAGGCAGUGCAUCUUAAGUACAGAACAAAUCACAUCCAUCUUCAAUCUACCUCCCUUCAGCUUUUACUAGUUGUGAAAAGACCCUACUCAUUGAAGUACCCGAGAGAUCUUCUAUCGCACUAAAUUGUUCAGCAGUCAUACUAGUUUCCACGAAAGCAGCAUUGCUGACAAGUGGGGAGAUAUCACCUAUCUGGUUUGUACUGUUCUCGUAAGGAUCACUUUGGUUUGUUGCCUCUUGCAGUUGAAGAGCGUACUCCAGAUUCCAUAAAACAUCUGCCAUUGAAGGUCGAUCAACACCGUAAUCAGCAAGGCACUUCUCUGCUGUCUCACCAAAUUUCCUGAGAGAAUCAGGUCUUACUUUACCGACAAGAUUAGGAUCUAUAAUCUGUUCCAACUUUCCGGUUCUUUGAUACUUCAUUGCCCAUUCACCUAAGUUCACCAUCUCUCUCGGAAGGGAUGGAUCAAUAACAGGCCUGGCACAGAGGACUUCAAACAAAACCACUCCAAAGGAGUAAACAUCUGACUUUUCAGUCAACUGUUGCCUUCUGAAAUAUUCUGGAUCAAGAUACCCAAAACUCCCUUUUACCGCAGUACUGACAUGUGUCUGAUCGAUGUCAGGACCAGUCUUCGAGAGCCCAAAAUCAGCAACCUUAGCCAUAAGAUUCUCGUCAAGUAAGAUGUUUGCAGACUUAACAUCGCGAUGGAUGACUGCUUUCGUGGAACCAGUGUGAAGGUAAUGAAGUCCUCUAGCAGAUCCAAUGCAAAUAUCAAGCCUCUGCUUCCAAUCCAAACAAGGAAAUUCUGAGCCAUAGAGAUGACUCUUCAAGGUCCCAUUCUCCAUGUACUCAUAAAUAAGGAUCAUCUCGUUUCUUUCAUCACAGUACCCAAUCAAUGAGACCAGAUGGCGAUGGCGGAACUGGGAUAACAUAUCAAUUUCAGUCAGAAACUCUGCAAGCCCCUGUUGUGAUUGGGGAUUACCUCUCUUUGCUGCAAUUUUUGUACCAUCUUUGAGAACUCCCCUGUAAACCUUCCCGAAACCUCCAACCCCAAUAACCCAACUCUCAUUAAAGUUGUUUGUCGCGUCCUGCAAUGCCGCAAAAGGUAUCCGGUACCCAAAAUUUGAAGCAGUGGUACCAAUUGUAGCAUGAGAAAAUUUACUCCCCGUACUUUGAGUAUUUCCUCCGUUCAUCAUGAAAGGGACCCAUGUCUUUGAAGGCUGAGUACGUAACCGUCGUCUUUUACACAUCAUGAACAUUACAAUAGCAACUGCCACCAAGACAAAGGCACCAGCGGCACCCCCUGCUAUUAUCGCAGUUUUCGUCUUUGAUUUUUGUGAUGAGGAACGGGGUACAAACAAUCCAGUAUCAAGGCUUCCAUCAGAAUUAUUCAUUUUCAUGACUUCCAAGCCAUUUAGAAUCGCAUUGGGUUGAGCGUCGUUAACAUUACUUGAAGGGCCAAUACUUACAAUAAGCUUUCUCAUGUCACUCACUUUCACAAUAUAAUCUCUAUAUACUGGAGUGGCCAAGGCAUUUGUCAAGUCACUAAGAUCAAAGUCCUGGGAAACCAAUCGAGAAUCUAAAUAAACAUUAAAAUAGAGCUGAUUAAGAGAGACACUCACGAUGUCACAAAAGUGAAACCGAAUCAGAUACUCAAAAUCAGGAUGUACAUCAAACUCCCAUGUCACAUUGAAAUUGCUAUUUGAAACUUCUGCUGUGUUCAUCCCUGCGGCAGUACCAUAGACAGCACUAGGAGCAAUUUCACUCGUAGCCCAACCUGGCCGAUAAUUGACUGCUCCUAUAUUUGAAAUUGAUUUGGCGAGAUUCCUGUUCCGUAAAAAGCCUUGAUCCGUUUCCCAACUUCUUCCAAGGGUAUCAUUUGAAGGAGAGAUCACUGGUCCACCCAUAUUUACCCUAUGGAUUGUCUCCAAUGCCUGUCUCCUUAAACCUUGGUAAUUCCCCAUUGGAUUAAUAGUUUGUGCAUCAUCUGUAAUGAGUGCAUCAGGGACUGAAACGACUUCUAAGGCAUUCAAGAAGGCAAAUGAAUUGUCAGAAGGAGUAAAAGUAAGAACAAGUUCGUUCGCAGUGAUGUUUACAGAGAAUUCCUUGACCAUAGAACCAUUACUUGGCUGAAAAUUAUUGAGAAGACCAAAUUGUUGGGUACUAACAGAGAAUUUAGCAUUACUCAUGUUAUAACUUUGGAAGACAAAUGGUAAGAAAUGAAGUCGAAUCCAAUGUCUACCAGGACUUCGGAUAGGAAAUGUAUACACAGAAACCCCAUUGAAAAUUCGAGCUGUCAGAUAAAUACGCGAACCAGAAGGCGAUGAGAUCGAAUUUGGAGUUGUGUUUGCAAUGAUAUUUUGUGGGGUGGAAAGCAAUCGAGAAACAGAAUUAUCAGAAACAAAGACAAGAUUACCGACAGAAUUGUUUGAAGAAGAUCCACAAUCAAUCAAAUAAUUGUCAAUAGGAAUAAAUUGUCCAAGACAACAAGUACAUAACAAAGACAAUAUGAAUAAAACCAAUUCAAACAAUUUCAAUACUGAAACACUACCCAUCACUUAAAACAACAUAAAGAUUGAAACUUUUCUACUCUUUCAAACUCAACUAGAAAAAAUAAAACAUACCCAUUUCUUCUUUUCAACAACUGAUGAACAUUUUAAUGAAAUUGAAUGAAAAAAACACCAUUUGAGAUGAAAUUAAAGAAAACCCAAAGCAAAUAUGAACUUAAAGAAUGAAAAAAACAAAAAAAUUAAAGACAGAUUCAACUGUUAUUGAAAAACAGAAAUUCUAUUUAAUGAAAAAAAAACAACUUUUCGUGUAAGACCUGACCUUCUUUCUUGUAUUUUGCUUGCUUUGAGAAUUGAGAUGGUGAAAGUGAAAGUGAAAGGAAGAAUGGGAACAAAACAAAAAAGUAACAUUUGAAAAGGAAAACUGAAGAUUUACUAAAAGAUUUGGCUUUUUCACAUUUAUAUUAAAAAACAUUUAUUGAAUUCAGUUGUUGAAAUGUCAUCACUUUCAGCUUCUACCUUCUUCAGUGGUGUGACUCAGUCUCUCUCCCUCUCUCUUAACUAAGCUAUAGAUUCUUCAAUAGCCCUCUUCACACUGCAGUUUGUUUUGAAGAGAUUAGAUGUCAUGUUCCCAGUAGCAAAACAAUUCACAACAAUAGUUCCAACCACAUCUCGAGAAAUAUUGAAACCUUAGAUGGAUUUGAAUUUUGUUUAUCAACAUGCCAAUUUUUUUUUAGUAAGAUUAGUAAUUUGGUUUAAAAUAAUUUUAAAUAAUCACAUUACGCGUUGAGAUAUUGGUUUUUGUUUUUAUGUAAAAAUAAUAGGGUUAUUUUGUAUUCGGUCCCUCUAGAACAUUCAUAUUUAGCAAGUGGUAUAGAGUUUUUCAAUUAUUAGCAGUUGGUCCUUUUUCCGUUAUUUGACUGAUAGUCAACUCUGUUGACUGUAGUCAAACCAUCCAAGUUUUUAAAAUACCUAAACUACCCAUGCACAUGUUAAUCAUGUGCAUUUUUAUGAACAACAAAUAUCAUUCUAUGCUUCAUCCAAUAGUCCAAAAUAAACCAAUAAAUAGAAAUAAACUAAACAAAAUAAUAGAAAUAAAAAAAACAAAGAUAGUGUGAUAAACAACAAUAACAAAAUCUUGCAAAGUAAUAUCCCAUCAAUCUAACAACCCUCAAUACAAAAUCAAGAAAACCAACCCCAAAAAUUAUCAAGAUUGAAACCCAAUUUUCUUUUAAAGCAAUCGAAAUUGAAAAGCCAUUCUUUUUGUCAAGCAAUUGAAAAUGAAAACCCAACACUUAUUGUUCUUGUAUAAAUACUUAAUACCCAUAGUUCUUGCCAAACAAUUAAAAUUAAAAACCAAAUACCCAUUUUUCUUCUCUUACAAUUUGGAAACCUAAUACCCAUCUAUUGUUCUUGUCAAGUAAUAGAAAUUGAAACCCAAUACCCAACAAAACCAAAACAUUCUCUGUACCUCAAAGAUGAAGAAGAUGAGAAAGAAGCUUAAAAAAUAUUUUAUUUUAUAAACCAAUUCAUAAAAAUGAUUUACAAAAGUGAUUCAUAGACCAAGAGCAAUAAACUUUGAAGGAUGAAGAACAAUGGGUAUUGGGUUUUUCAAAAUCAUUAAUGGGUAGUUCUUCAUUUGCAAAUUUAAGUGAUAAAACUUAUUCUUUUGUCAAUGUAGAGUUUAAAAAUUUAUUUUUCUUCUCACUAAAACAUGUGCCUCACACGUGCAUGGGUAGUCUAGGCAUUUUGAAAAAUUGGGUGGUUUGACUACAGUCAAUUGAGCUGAUUGUUAGUCAAGUAACGGAAAAGGGACUAAAUACUAAUAAAUGAAAAACUCUAUACCACUUGCUAAAUACAAAUGUUCUAGAGGGACCAAAUACAAAAUACCCCUAAAAAUAUUUUAGAAAUUUAUAAAAAAUAUUAUUUGUUGAAAUGGAUUAAUGAUUGAGCAUUUGAGCAUGAUCAUCAACAUGACUUUUUAAAAAUUAUUUAGCUUAAAUUAAGUAAUUAACACCACUAGGUGUCGAAUAUAAUUGAAAUUUUUUUUUUUUUGGUUAAAAAUAAAAAUAUAAUUGAUAUAAAAUGAUAAGUUUGACAACAGAACAGCAUGUUCACAUCUGCUAUAAAUAAAUAAAAAUAUGGGGUUAGAGUCUUAUUAGAUUUGACUCACCAAUUGGCCAAUUCUGAUUUCAAUUUGGUUCAGCAGGUAACCUAACCCAUCAUUGUUUUUUGUUUGCAAUUGGCAUGGCAGCAUGAUCUAGCUUAGCUGGAAUCUGGAUGAAACAUACUACAUACAUGGAAAAGUCAGGCUUUACAGCCAUACUUGACGGCUAAAUGGUCAUAUAAAAUGUGCAAAGUUGACCUUAGCAUGGCCAUCUGUCUUACUCUCACAUUGUUUUACUAGAAAACCAAGUACCAACCCAAUAAUUUAGCCAUAUGUGAUGGAAUGGCAGCUGAGCAGAUAGUUUAUGUGAUAAAACGCAUAUGCCUUCGUUUUGGCCUGCAGUUGCAAUAAAGACCUUGACAUUCUAUAUUGCCUUGAUAUUGAGAUUUGCGCCUAUAUGUGACAGACAGACAGACAGACAGGCAGCAGCACAGGUGAUUUUGCUUGUUUUAGCCUGCAGACGCCUAGCAUGCAUUAUAUGUUAUAUUGGCUAUCUUGAAUCCAGUUUGUGUCCAUUGCAAUGUAGGCAUAUACAUAGUUCCUCUGGUUCUAAACACUAGGUUUGCAGUUUGCUAUACAUGUAUGAAAACAUAUUGAAUAAGUUGUAGUAUUAGAGUCUAGAGAAAUUUUAUCAAUAGAAAACACCUGCGAAACUGGUAAGUUAAAACAGUUCCUUUGCGGGCGGCCUGUAAAGUACUGAAGAGAGUUCAUUUCUUCUAAGGGUUAUUGAGGCUGGGAGGUGUCUGUUUGGGUGAAGGCUUCAUCUGUAUACCAAGGUGUUAGGUUUAGGUCCACACAAAAAUCAUCUCCUGAGUCACUGUCGAUAGUUGCUCCACCAUCCCUCGAAGCCUGCAACAAAAAGGCAGCACUAUAAAUACCGAAAACAUGGCCAUGUCCUACAUUUUUCAUAACACAUGAAAUAUUGUACAGACAGUAGUCUUGUCAAUCAACACUAAGUAAUUCAGUAGUUUAGUGAUACACACUCAUACAGAAAGAAACUUGUUACUCUUGAACUAUUAUAAUUGUACAGCAAAAUCAAAGCCAUAUUCUCUGAAUAUGCUUUAAAGUUGAGAAAGGCAAACACCACAAAUAACAUGAUCAGCACUAAGUUUUUCAUGUUUUCAGAUAUAUAUUCAAAAUUUAAUACCAGAUUGACUUCUUAUAAUAAAAAAUGGACUACACAAAGAAGAAUGGUGCGCGACUUCGUUAAAAUUACUCCAUAAUUAGUUUAUCAAUAAGUUCUAUUGGGAACUCGGGUUACUUUACGAGGGAAACUUGUAGCGCUUAGAGUCAACCUAGUAUCAUUAACCAAUAAUAAACUACUAGUUAGUUUCUUCACGACCAUUUGAUAACCAUUAACGCAACAUUUUUUUUUUUUUUGAUAAACAUUAGCACUUAAACAUGAUAUCGACAUUAUUAGAAAUUUAAAUUUACAAAUUUUUAGUUGAGUUAACCAUUGCAUAGUUGGAAAAUUUACGCGUAAUUAAGCACAUUGUUACCCAUUGAAUCAUGAUAAACUAGUAAAACCCGUGGCGCUGCCACGACUAUCAUUAAUAAUUAAAAGAUAGUACUUUAAAAAAUAUAAUUCUUUUUUUUUAUUUAAAAAUAUAAUUGUUCUGACGUUUUAUAGUCUUAGGGACAUUGAUGCAUGGAUAAAAUUGUUGAUCUAAAUUAUAAAUAAUCACAUGAUUGGUCCCUAUAGUCAAAUAUUGUAAUGAUAAAAACUUUGCAUCAUAGGUGUUAACAUUAAGCUACUUCUAUAACACAACAAAUGCUCAGUACAACUGCGCAAAACUGAGCAAGUUUCCGACUGUCAGAUACUAAGGUGAUGUUGGGUCAACCAUUAUUUAUUUGAAGUAAUUAUUCUUAAAAAUAUAAUAAUUUUAAAGUAAAUAUCUCAAACAGCUCCAGGUAUCCAUUUGAAAUUUCUUGUAUAUCAUCUUCUUUUUCAUCAGGUCCAUUUCGCCCAUAUAUGUAUCCUCUUCUUCUUCUUCUGGUGGUAGAUCUUCUACUGUUGAUCUUAUUAUUUCCAUUAUUUUCUCCUUUCAGAUUGUUUUCAAAAAAGCAUUUGGAUACAUUAUUUGUCCAUAAUAACUUGUAAGUAUGCCAUAAAGGUCAACUGCAUACCAUCCGUCCGUUAUCAAUAGUAAUACCUUAAAAAAUUAGCUCUAUCGUAUGGUCUGUGUCCAUCCCUAAGCGAGUGCUUAACGUACUUUGACAGAGACAAAAAAACCAUCAGUUUGAUGUUAUGAACAACACAAAUAUCUAUUCCACUCAAGAUAAUCAUGUGAUGUAUAAAUAAAAGUUAAAAUCACAUAUGGUAUGACGAAAUGAACAACCAAUUUUUUCAAAGAAACCAUUUAAUAGAAGUUUGUGUGACCAUAAUUUUAUAAAAAAUAUGAUGACAUAUUCCUAUUGAAAAUACUACCUUACAUAAUAAUAUGUAGGAUUUUCUCAAAACAAUAUAAAUAAAUUAUUUCAUUGUUGUUGAGAUUCUCUAUUUUGACGUUUGACUUAUCUUUUGUAGUAUUUGUAACUUCUCUCCAAUGACUGUUUCUUUCUUAGUCUUUGUUUGUUCGUAUCUUUUUUUUUUUUUUUCCGAAGAAUACCUCUAUAAUCUCAUUUGUUUAUUUUCAGUCAAUGAGAUACGUUGAUUUUCUUUUUGACAUUUUGAACCUAUAAUUUUUAUUUUUAUUUUGAUAAUUUGGAUAUCACUACUGUCAUAACUUAUUGUUGAAAUUGUUGGUUGUUAGAUUAUUUUUUAUUUACAUAAAAUGCUUUAAUCCCUAGAUUCUUUAAUAGCCAAUUCCUCUAGUCUUUGAAUCUCAAAUGAUAUAUGAAAUUAGACAUCCAAGGAAACAGUAAGUAACAUGCUAUUUUUAUGUUCUACCCAAAAUUUAGAUAAAAAAGAAAAAAUCACCUUCAGUACUUGGGGAACAUAGUGAGCUCGUGAAGAAUGUUUGGGCCAAUGUUUCAGCCAUAUUUAAGAUCAGUUGUUUUGCUAGGAACAAUAGACAACAAUCUUGCAGGAACAUGCUGAUAGUACGCAUGCUGUUACUUCAACUAUUGAUAGCACUUCCGCCAAAGCUGAAGUCUAUCCACCACGCGAAACAACAUAGGCAAAGUUCUGAAGAGAUGAAAGUUUCAAGCUUGAGAUGUUGCUAUUGCUAUAUCAGAAGAUACCAAAAUACUAUUAAAUUUUGUUUACAAAAACUGUCUUGGCCAAUUGUACAUGAGGGUUAGAAUAGAAACCUUAGAAAAGUCAUAUACAAAUUACCAAACAAACUUUGAUCAAAAUUUCCUCUAAAAACCCCACUGAGUGGACAAACAAAUCCCCCUUUCUACUCAAUUUCUUCCGUCAGCUAUCUUCAUCUUCAUUAAAGACCAUGCUUCUCAACAGUUGUGUUAGUUUCUAAAGAUCGCAACGAUUUCGAGGAUGAAAACAGAUGUGUAACAUAUUAGUUCUAGGCUAGAAUGAUGACAAUAUAAAAAAAUUGAAACUAAUUUCAUUACAUGAUUGAACGCACCAAAUUGCAAAUUGUAGUAAAACUGGCAAUUAAAAUAUAGAUUGUAUAAAAAGGGUUUGAACUCAACCUCGAGGUUAAAAACCAUCAAACUCUAACAAAAUGAGCUACUUGAGGUAAAUAUGAAUAUUAUGCCAAAAUAUCAAAGCUAUAGUAAAUACAGAUGCUGGAGGAAGGGCUUGAACCUUCGACUUUGUGGUUUAAAAGCCACACGCUCUAACCAACUGAGCUACACCAGCUAAGCACGCACAACAUGCUAAAUGCAAACAUUUUAUUAAAAUACAUGACCUUAUGUUCCUAUUUAUAAUAUCUAUUCACGGUAAAAAACAUUGUCUACCCAAAUGUCUUGUGUUGCUCAAAGAAAAAUGUGAAUCAAAAUAGUACCGCAUAAGUAAAGAAAAGAUGAUUAUGGGAAAGAAAAUUGUAGGAUGAUCAUAUCAGAAAUUUAGAAUCACAGUGGUCAAAGUGUCUUGUUUUGCUUAAUCAAAAAAUUAAAAAAAAAAAAAAAAAAAUGUCUUGUGCUCUUAAGAGGAAAAAAUUUAAACUCAAGAAAGCAAGAGUUAAUAUGCUUUAGGCAGUAAAGCUUCAAAGGCUUCAGCCUCAUUCAAGCAGCUCAUGUUCAUGUCAUAGUUCAAUUGCUACUAACUAUCAAAAUUUAAUGUUAUUCAAGUGCAACAACAUCAAAAGCUAAGCUAUCAGCUCAUGUCAUAGUAGAAAAAAUGGAUUUGGAUCAUACUUAAGCUACUAACACAACCCAGCUAGCUUGAGUAUGCUUACAUUCUACCUCUACUUCUCCACAUGGUGACCCAUAAACAAUUUUUAUCUUUAUAUUUAUCUAUUAAAGUAGAUAGUGAGAUUAAUUGAUAAGUUACAAAAAUGAACAUGGAGAUCCGCAGUCAUAUAGAAAUACUGUAAAGUUAGCAAAUGCUUAACCUUAUUGAGACUUUGUAUCAUAAACGUCAUGAAGAUGAAGUAUCAUUUGAGAACACGAAUCUGUAACAAAAGCUUAUAUUUCGAAAUGGUUCCCAAUUCAAUAGAGUCCUCCUGUGGCCACUGGCAAAGUCUCAAAUAAUUGUUCGGAACCAUAGUUUACUUGUAUAGCAAACCAAAAUUUCACAUAAAUCAACAGAAAGUCUUGCAAGUUAGUUUUUGUUUUGGAACAAAAAAUAAAAUCCUUUGCAUUGAUAUAAAUUCUUAUCUCGACAAAGACAAAAUCAUAUGGGCUCUUAGUCUAGAUGGAAACUUCAGUAUCAAAUCAGCCUAGGCAUUUCUGGGUGGAGUUGUUACACAUGACAGACUCAUCAGAAGAAGGCUUCUGUACCUAUUGUUCAGUGUAGAUAUAAAAGAAGUCAGCUCGGGGGAGCAUUAUAAGUGGAAUACUUUCAAUGGGGGAAGGGCAAAACAAUGGGGAAAGUGUCAAGCUAACGUUUUAGGAUUUCAACAGUAGUUGAAAUAAAACUUUCUUAGUUAGUAAAACAGGGAAACAAAACAAAACUGCUAGUUUCUUGGUAGGGUCUUAAACAAAGACUCAAACAAUUUUUUUGUGUUUGUAUGAUAACAUAGAUCAAAACUGUAUCCUAAAAAGUGAAAAUAAAUGUAUUAACCUCAACAUAGUAUCCAGAAGGAUACUCAACUACAAAAACAUCCGAAGGAAUGAAGGAGGCAGUAUGUAUAAAUCCGAAUCUCAUUUACUUUUUAGGCUCCAUUUGACAUGGUUUAAAAUUUAAAUUACAAGCAUAUGCCAUAUUAGUUAAAGUACUUAAUCAAAUUGAAUAUUUCUUACAAAAUUCACUGUGAGGUGUUAAUUAUUGUCUACACUGGAUUUUAGCUUGUUCUUCUGGUUUCAAAACUUGUCUGCUAUUAUAUUUUGGGUCAUCAACGUAAGGCUAACAUCAGAGCCGAAGUCCACCCUCUUCAGAUUAUGACCGGCUCUAGAUACACUUUCAGCAAACUUUCCUUUGUCUAUUUGAUUAAUUUAGCUUGAUAUUAUUUAAUUCUAAUCUAUUAAUUUUUAAUUUUCAUACAUCAUUGUUUUUUCUUAAAAAUACAUUAGAUUAGUUUUUAGUCAUGUACUCAUUUAAUUAACUUAAAAUUCCCUCAUCACUUCAGUUUGUCUGUAGAAGAAGCCUAUACCCGUGUCAGCCUAGAUUAUUGCUUUAAGAAGGCACCAUUGUUAUUAGGCAAUGUGCAUUUCACAUGGAGGCCGAAAAAUAAGGAGAAAGCAAAAUCAGGGAAAGCUAAAUAAUAUUAUAUAUACAAAAGUAUGGAUUGAGAUUGGAAAUAGGAUGGAUUGGAAUCAUAUAUCAUAUAUAAGUGAUUUCGCUAAGAAGGUGUCGACAUGAUUUUGGUUACUAAUACGAUGAAUUUUUAGUUUUGCUUAAUGAAUGAAGAUCACUGUAAGACAUCCAAUGCUGAAUACAUGAACAUGAAUAACUGAUAUGACAGCAUAGCAUAUUAGUUUGAGAUGCAGCAAAGCAACUCUAGACACAAAAUACUCCUAAUAAUAUUCUAUAAAAAUUUAAUACCCAAUAGAGCUAAUCAGUGUGCAGUAACAAAUAUAUCCAAUUAUUCUUAACUUCAUGCCAGAGCAAUAUCUAAUAGAUUCAGGAGUGAUGAUUGUAUAUAAAAAUUAAAGGAAUAUAAUCAAGUGAUUUCCCAAUCAACAUACAAUUUUGUGUUCAAUCAAAAAGUACAAUUACUUUGGAGAAAAUCCAAUUUCUAGAUUUGUAAAUAGAUGGAAAAAUGCAUUGAUGUCCUGAAGAGUGAUGAAAACAUUAUGCCGUGACUCUAGACAGUUAAAACCUAAACCCAGAAUUCUAGAACAUGUGGUCCUAACAUAGAAAUCUGGCAGCGGUAUUUAGCAGUAGCCUAUAAAAAACCACAGUAUGAAUGUUGUGUUUGGGUAAAUUACCCUCAAUACCACUAACUUGCAGCUAAUGUCUACCUUUAACAAAAAAUGUUCAUCUUAAUUGGGUGUUCGAAUUAGAAAGGACUGCCAGUUUCUCUGGUAAGUCUGGCAUGGGGUCGAUUGUUGCUCAGGAGAUAGAGGUGUAUUUUGUUAAAUCAAACUUUCAUUAACCUGUUCUCUGAAUAAUCUUAGCAUUCGUGAGCCAUGUGAUUUGUAGCUGGCUUAUAAUUCUAGCUGUCAUGAGUUAUAAACUAAUUACGUAUUGAAUCUUGUAAUAAUUUCAUAUGGAAUAGGAAAUUAUCAUGUUAGAAAACAACAACAUACCUGCUAGCCAUGGUACAGAAUCAUGGCAGUCAUACCUUAUGUUUAGCAAGAAAUUAGUUUAGUAACUUGUAUUUGCAAGCCAGGGUUAUUUUAGAAAGCUACCACAUUUGUGUCUUUUCUAUGGUAUAAUAGUUAUAGACGCAACAGCUAAUUCAGUCGAGUCUGCAACAGCUAAUUCAGUCGAGUUUGUUGAUUAAUCAAAACGAAUUUUGUGUUCAAUAAAAAAAAUACAAUUACUUUGUAAAAAAUCCAAUUUUCAAAUUUGUAAAUAGAUGGAAAAACAUGGCUGAACGUAUCUAUGAACGAAUUUUGUGUUCAAUAAAAAAGUAAUAAUUGCAGAGAUGAAUUCAGAAGUAAUAAACGUAUCUAGUAUGGGAGCUGCCUUUUUCUUGUCAUAUAUCUAUAUAAUCGUCCUAGGUGGCUCCUAUGUGGGAAGAUAAAAUAUUGUUAGAAUUGGAGAUGCUCUUACAUUUCGUUACUAUCUUAAAUUUUUCACUUGAACAGUUAAUUUAUAAAUAAUUGCAGUUGAUCAAAUCAAUUUGGUUUGGAGUCUUUUCUUUCUAUUUUUGCGAUAGUAUUAAUGCUAUCUGUUGUGCGACAUAUGAUUCGUCAUGGUGGGCAUGACAUGGCAGUAAAAUGAGUGACAGAUGACUAAAUAAUGCUCACGUUUCUGUGAGAAAAUAUAUCUGAGUUUUACAAAAAUGUAGUGUUAAAAUUAGUAACAAAAACUGGCAACUGCCACAUUUUAGAUAAAAAAGAAAAUGGAUGAAAUUGAAGAGAGCAAAAUCAAAUGAUAUACUGUGAUGACAAAUUGAAGGAGGUAAACGUCCCCCUGAAGUGUGACCUAAACCUAUGCAGUCAUAGGUGCGCCUAGGCUCUGCGAGGUCUGGUGCUUAGUUGUAGGCGGUGCUCAGGUGUCUUAGGCUCAGUUUCGCUUUUAGUCGCCUAGGCUCCCGCCUAGGUGAGGCUAGGCUCUGGGUCUAGUUUUAGGUGUUUUUAACAAUUUGGGAUAGAUUUUAUCCAACUUUUACUUGAACCCACGAUAUUAAUUAAUCCUAAGAGAAAUACCUAGUUUUCUUAGUCUCUCUUUUCUACUCUUCUCUCCUCUUGCCUCUGCUUCUUCCCAUAAGGAUCUGUUGGGUUUGGAGAUGGAUGAUGUUUAAUUGAGUGGGAAGUUGGAACAUGGAACUUGAGCUUGAAAAGUUUUUUUUUUUUUUUUUUUUUUCUGCUAGUUUCUACUUGCUAAUUGCUAUUUAAAACUUGUGUAUGAUUCCAUUCUAUUGAAACUUAAGUAGUAUUAUAAAAUAUUAGUCUUGAACUCUAUACGACGACUGUUUGAUGUGUAUGUGCCUCUCUGGUAUUGUUUGUUAGUCACGUAAUCAAACAUGAAUGUAUGUUUAAGAAUCUAUAUCACAUAAUUAUUAUAUGUAAUUCACUAAUUCAGUAAAAAAGGUGGAUGUGCUAGGCUCACCCCAAGCACCUAGGUGUCGCGUCUGUCGCCUGAGUCUCUAACUGCAUAGACGUAAACAUAGGUCGUAUAACGUGCAGCUUGCGGAACUUGUGCCCCCAAAAAUGUUCAAAUUUACAGAUGUCACACUUAUCUUUGAUUCUGCCAAAGAAGAAUCAAGCAAGCAAUGCUAUCAUAUUUCAAAGAGGCAAAGCAAACUAACCUGCACAAUAAGAUACUUAUGUGAUGGACGAUAUAACAAAUGCAUUCAGGAAAACAGGAACAAAGCGAACAGUUGCAGCUUCACCACAUAUGAGGAAGUACAAGGAAACCAUAAUAAGCUUCCUGUCUCAGUUUGGGUUAAUUGCUUCUAAGCUGGGGAUGAAGAUGUAAACAAAUCAAUUCAUGGAAGGCCUAAAUUUAAUCUGAAAUAGCAACAACGCAUACGAAGAUGUACCUGUUCCAUACCAGGCGUAUCGGUAAGUAUUUGCACCAUUUGAUGUAGUUAUCCAAUACCUUCAGAAAGACCUCGGUGAUAGCUUUCUCAUCUAUUUUCUGAUAUGAGAAACAAAGCAGGACAAAAAAAAUGAUUAACCUCUAUUAGCAAUUUUACUACUCUUCGUGAACACGAAUAGAAUGAAGAAUUUAAGUGCCGACCAGUCCAGCAGCUCCGACCCUUGGUGAUCGUACCUAGAGGAUUGAAGAUGACUGAUAUGAUGAUGUUUUAUUACACAUUUUAAAAAUUUGAGAAGAGAAGAGAAGAGAAUGAGAUGGGGGCGGCCGGAAGGGGGAAGUUUGAGAAAGACAGAAGUUAGGGAAGAGAAGGGGAAGAAGAUUGGGGUUUUAAUCCUAGUCACCCUAAAUAUUAAUCUUAGUCAUACUAAUUUAGUCCUAGUCAUACUAAAUAUUAAUCCAGUCAUAGAAAUUAAUCCUAGUCAUAGAAAUUAGUCCUAGUCAAAUUAUGCACCCUUUGUAGAUUAUAAUAUAGAUGAUGGUGAAACUAUUGUGAUAAAUCUAUAUACAGUAUUAUAUAAUAGUGGAGCCUAGCAAGUGCCACAUGGCGUGUUCUCAACAAAUUGAGAAUAAAGCUCAAGCCCAACUUGAAACUCAAUUAAAAUCCAAUUGUAGACAACAAGUGCCACAUGGGGUUUUCUAGAGACUUCAAAAUAAAGCUUAAAUUUGGUGAGAGUCUAAAUUAAAAAAGAAAUCCACCUUUCCAUAUCAGCAGAGAUUUAUAGAAACCUUAAAACCCUUUAGAACUAAAUUAUAAGGGAGAUCUUAGUCACACCACACAAAUCUCUCAUGCACCACAUUUUUGGAUAAAUUUUAAAUAAUUAUAUUUUUACGAAUAUACCUUGUUAUUCUAUUUGGCACACCACACAUUACAUUAUUUUUUUUUUUAUUUUGUUUCUUUCAAAAAAUUUACUUGCCAAUAAAAUCUAGCAAAUAAGGAAACAUUGUCAAACCUGCAAAUAAAGAUAUCUUUAUUUUUUGCUAAAAAUAUACUAAAAUAAAAAAUCAACUAAUCUCUUCUUUUUUCUGUAACUCUUUUUUUUUUUUUUUUUCUAAAACUUCAUUGUAAAAUUUUCUAUAAAAAGGAAGUAUGGAACGUCAUGACCUUAAUGAAGAGAACAAUAAUCAAAAUCCAAUUGAUUUGAACGUUUUUUUAUGAUUUCAAUUGUAGAUGAAAGUAAACUCUCUCAUCUAGAAAUAUUGUUUUUAUUUAGAUAUAUUUUUAUCUUCUAGAUUCUUUAGAUUUAUUUCUAUAUAUAUAUUUUACUAUUAAAAAAAUAAAAUAAAAUGUGGUGUAGUGAAAGUUUUUUAUUUUAAUUUUCUUUGUGGUGUGCCUAAAGAAUCUUAAGAAUAUUUGUGGUAAACUAAACAAAUGUGGUGUAUGAAAGAUUUGUGUGGUGUGACUAAGAUCUCCCAAUUAUAAAUAUCUUUUUUUUUUUACUAAAUUCUUCUUCUUUUUAAAGUCCUUAACUCUAUAUAAAAACCAUAAUAAAAAUAAAAAAUAUUAAUUAUAAAUCUCUACAAAUUUAGGUUAAAAAGGGGUGAUUUUUUAUUUUAUUGAAUAACACAAAUCCCGGUGCAUUGUCCGGGUUCAACAACUUGUCAUACAGUAACUAUACUGUUCUAGCUCAGAGGUGACGACUCUUGGGCUUUGUGAUUGUUGUAUAGAAAUACAGGCCUCCAGUCCAUCUUUCUAGGCCCGUGUUAUCAUGGGCUCAUCUACUGGGUAACAAAAUUGAUCUGUUGGGUAAAACCUAACCCUCAGGUGUAAACUCAACCCGACCCGACUGCUAACGUUCUUCUCCAAUAAUGUCGAUGUUGUUAGGGUUUAUGAUUUUGCCGCAAAAACUUAAUGAGAAGAAGAAGAAGACGAAGAAAGAAUGAAUUUCUCUGAAGAGUGGAAAUCACUAUGGACAAUCUCAUCCGUCUAUGAUCCACCAUUACUAAUCUCAAGACCAGAUUCAUUAUCUCUAGGUCCACUUCUCUUCAAUCCUUGUUCUAAAACCCCAAUAAACCUUCUCUUAACAUCUCAAUUCAUUGCUCCUCGUUUCACAAUUCCUCCUCUUUCUUACCCUCGUGGUCAUCUUAAAUUACAACAAAACCCAUCUUCUAAUGAUUCUAAACCUUUUCUUCAAAUCCCCACACCAAACAAUAACAUUCUUCAAAAGCUUAAAUAUUCAAAGAAUGAAUUUUUGCUAUUAUUUCCAUAUGGGGAUGAUUUAAAUAAAGUGGGUUUUGUUAGAAUCUCUGUAAAUGGUUCAAAAGUUGUGAUUUUGAGUGAAAUAUUGGUGACAGAAGAAGAAUUUGAUAGUCGGGUUUUGCGAAUUGAAGUAUCACAGUUAGUUGUUGAUGAAAGUAUUGAAUUUUCAGCAGAAUCAGGUAAUUCAUCAGUUGUUGUUGUUGUUGGGUUUUUAUUAGCUUGUACUUUAAAUACUGUGCAUUGGUAUAGAGUUGAGAUUAGAGAUACAUUUUCGGAAUUGGUUUAUUUGGGUAGUAAAACUACGAAAUUUUGUAACCCUAUUGUACAUGCUUGUUGGAGUCCACAUUUGCCUGAGGAGAGUUUGGUUCUGUUGGAGAAUGGUAAUUUGUUCUUGUUUGAUUUGGAACCUCGUUGUAGAGCGAAUAAAUUUCCCAGGAAGUUGAAAGGAACUAGAGUCAGUUUUUCAUGGGAAGAUUUUGAUAUAGACUCGUGCAAAGGGGAAGUGAAGAAAAUUAGGUGGUUGAGUUGUGGAUUCAGUUGGCAUCCUCGGAUUUUCGUUGUAGCUGGUUCUUAUGGUGUUUUUCUGGUUGAUUCAAGGUUUGAGAAAAGUGACGUCAGUAUUUUGGCCAAAAUUGAAAUGUUUCAUUUGAAUCGUACUAUUUCAAAUAGUCAGUUCAUUGCAUUUUGUAUGGCGGGUACUGAUGGUUUCUAUUUUGCGGUCGCCACCGAGGAAAAUUUAUUUCUUAUUGAUAUUAGAAAACCAAUGAUGUCUGUCUUGCAAUGGGCUCAUGGUCUUGAUAAUCCUCAUUACAUCAAUGUGUUCAGAUUAUCCGAGUUAAGAUCUGUGGUGCAGGAGGAUAGAUAUAAGUGGGCUUCUGAUUCUGGUUUUGCCAUCUUGAUGGGGUCUUUCUUGAAUAGUAAGUUCAGUUUGUUCUGCUAUGGGCCGCCUUUACUAGCACUUGAUAAAUCAGUAGCUUUCAAUGUUUCAAAAUUCUGCAAUCCUUUUUAUGCAUGGGAGCUUCCAUCAGAGAUUUCCUUGUUGGGUCGCCAAUGCAAUUGCGGUGACUGCCUUUUAGGAGAGGAUAUAUCUAAUGCAUCGAUUCCUGAAUGGAAAAAAGAAAAGAUCUUGGGAUUCUGUCUUAUCGGUAAAGAUCUUUCAGAGUCACCGUCAGAGGCAGAUGGUUUGAGCGGGUUCACAUUGAUCAGGCUGGUAUCAUCUGGGAAGCUCGAAUCACAGAAGUAUACUGCCUCCUGCGAUUUUACUAGUGGGAAGAAGGAAGAAUUCGGGAAAAAAUCUUCACAGGUUGUGGACUCUUUUCUUGAUUUGUUUGUGGAUCAGAAGUAUAAAUUCCCUAGGAGAUUUAGAUACGUACGUCUUGAAUCUCUUCUUGGAUAUAUGAACGGUGAUCUUCCAAAAGUUCUGAUGUCUAAAAUGAAAAGAAGCUGUCUUGUUUCUAGUAAAACACCGCCAUAUACCGCAGACUAUUAUGAACGUAUUUGUGAGAUUAUGAAGGCUGCUGGGGUUGACAGCACUGGCUUCUAUCCUUCAAUUGAAGAAGUUCUUAAUAACAUCAGUUGGCCAAUGAACAUACAUGAGAUUACUUCAAGUAGGAUGUGGGGAGGCCUAAGUGUGGAUCUUCUACAGUUGGCAUUCACCAUUUACUCGGAACUUGUGGGUGUUCCUGUAGAGCAUAGGAAAAUAUCCUUGGAAGCUUUAGAUAUUCCAACCUUGCCCCAGUUGCCACCAUUUUUCUCAAAGACGCCUACCAGACGAAGCAGCAAGUGGUCGUGGAAACUUCAGUUAGGUGAUGUUCUUGUGGGCCCUGUGCUUCCGCUUCCUUUUCUACGAGCUCUUCAUAAAGUUAAGAAGAAGGACAGUAAUUGCUGGUAUUUAGAAGAGGAAGAAAAUGAGGAGUUAGAACUGACCCAGCAAUGCAAUGAGGUCAUGAUUGUGGCUAGUGAGAUGGCCUUAAGUGAAUCUCAUUGUGAGCUUAAUGAAUCACCUGCAGUCUCCCUUGCCAAUGAUAGCGAGGAGAGGUGGGGUGGAUUUCAAAAGCAAAAGCCAUUAUUCCUUUUCAAGCCCUGUGCCUCUUUGGAGAAGAUUGGAUCCACUUCAGAUUCCUCACCACGUGGACCUAUUUAUGAAGAUAACAACUUUGAUACAUUUGUUUCCAGAACUCAUGAGAGAGAAAAUACUUCAAACCCUGAAGACUUGGUGGGACUCAACUUUUUUGAUGACUUGUGCCCAAUAGAGCUGAAUUUUGAUUUUUGCGACAUAAACUUCGGGGUCAUGGAAUUGGAUGGAUACAAGAAGUUGAAGCAACAGUUUUCUAACUGGCAGAAUGAUAACACACAGUAUCAGGAUUUCUGUAAGUCGUUGAAGAUUAAAAAUAAGAGUUCGCUGAUUCCUUGAAUCUGCUGCAUCUUUUUGUUUUAUGGAAAAUUUCAUGAGCGUCUUAUAUCCCCUGCACUGCGAUCAAAUUGAAAAGGAGUAACAGAAGCUAACAAGAAAAAAUGCUCUUAAGACUGGUUUGUAUAAGGAGGCACCUCAUACUAUUGUAUACUUAACAAGGAGAAAAGCUGUUGUAAGUUUCUGUUUUUUUAUUUAAUUAUUUUCCAUUUGUUUUCUUGGAAUUGUUUUGAUGUAAAGUUCUUUAUGCAACCAUACUUCGAGGACACACUACUCAGUCUUUUAAUUGUAGACGUUGGUAGAUACUUCUAGUUGUCUGUAUAAAAUUUGCAUAUUGCCAAACACAGAUCUAGUUCUUUUUUUUUUUUUUUUUUUUUUGAUAAAUUAUGUAGUAUUGUGCUUGGGUCAACUCUAUAAUGAGACAACGCAGGCUUGAUGAAGGGGAGUGUUUUGCACUGGUAGAUAGACCACACACAUCCCUAUUAAUUUGCGUUGUUCUAAUCACUUCACUUUUCCUCCAAAUCAGAUGACAUUUUAUCACAUUUCUUCAAAUCACAUUGCAAUGUUUUGCAAUAUGCUCCUAUCCCUGCAGCAUCAAAAAGAGUUGUUUUCUUUCAAGAAUAGCAAAGAGUUCUCAUUUCCCACCGUCAUAAACAGCAACAGCAAAAUAUAAGAAACAGAAACCAGGACCUUAUGUCUGCAUGACGACGAUGAGUUCUUCUUCUACUACUACUCAAACCACGGUAACAACAACAACAACAAUAGAAUCUCUUACAUUUGAUGGAAUUUCCAAGUUUUUCAAUAUGCCCAUUGCUGAUGCAGCUACCAAUCUUGGUAUCUCUCUCUCUUUCUAUAUAAUUUUUAUUUUUUUGAAUGAGAAUUUGUAUUAAAGUUUGAAUUUUUCUUGGUUUUCGUGAAUUAAAUGCAUUUGGGGUUGUUGGGUUUUAUGUUUUUAGUAAUUUUUAUUAAUAAAAUGGAAUUAAAACUAGCUUAUAUAAGCAGAAUUUUCACUUUUUUUGUAGGAUUUUUGCAUAAUGGUAUGAACUUUAAUGUUAAAUAAUGCCUAAGUUUAUAUUUUUCUUGGUUUUCACGAGUUAAAUACAUUUGGGGUUGUUGGGUUUUAUGUUUUUAUUGAUUUUUACUAAUAAAAUGGAAUUAAAACUAGUUAUAUAAGCAGAAUUUUCAUUUUCUUUAGGAUUUUUUGCAUAAAGGUAUGAACUUUAAUGGUAAAUUAUGCCUAAGUUUGGAUUAAGGAAGCUUGGGUAGGUUGAAUUUAGCUCAGUUAGUGUAUUUUGGCAACAAAAUGGGCUUAAUAAUAAAAUCAAAGUAUAAGUAGAAUUUUCGCCAUCUUAUCCCCAAGUUUCAUGUGUCAAGGUUUGGGGGUAUAGUGUAAAAUUUUGUGAGAUUCUGUGAAAUUUCAUGAAGUAUCUUGACCCUUUACGAGAGAUGAAAUGUAUUUUGUUUUAAGAAUCCUGAUAUAAUCAUAUACUUGUGGGCAUUUUAACACAUGUUGAAGUUUCGAUUAUGUUGGCCUUUCUGUCAAGUGAUUUUGUAUGUGUUACCAGUGUUUGGCUAUGUAAGAUACUGAUACAUGUGUGUACUGAUUUAUCGGGCAGGAGUUUGUAGCAGCGUUUUAAAGAAAAUAUGCCGUGAUAAUGGUCUUGUGAGGUGGCCAUAUCGCAAGGUUUGCUCCUAACUAUUUAUGUAUGUUAAUUAGAUGAAUGUGUUUUGCUUUGUGUACACUAUUUCUGCGCAAACACUUUAUAUAAGAAGAGUACAGUUUAUGUCUGGCGUACUUUUUUGCUGAAGACUGGAAUCAGAAACAAUGGGCUACACUUAUAAGCAAUAGAUUUUCAUCAUAGUUACAUAGACUUUUAUGCUCUCCACUGCUCGUUUAGAAUAAGAUUCUACUAGCAUGUUCCUCAUCCUCAUUCUUCUAGCUAUAUCAAGUCCUGUAGCAACAGCAUGUGUUUUAAUUUCAGUAAUAGACUUACUUGUGCAGAAACCUAGUAUGGGUUGGCCUUUUUGAGUUCAAUAUAUUCCUCCAAAACCAGCUCAUGUUUCUGCUAGAGAUCCAUCAACACAUAAGCUGAUUUGGUUUCUCCAGGUGGUUCCCUCUUGCAGUAGACAACACUCCUAGGCAUCAAUGGGAUAUUCAUUUGCAGACUGUCGAGGAUUAUCCUGUUAUUGGGAUGUUCUAUCUGAGUGCUCCAUCUGUUCACAUGUCUCAUAUUCAAAACUUCAGAAUGCUCAUUUCAAAAUUAGCUACUUUGCCUACUCAUCUACUGUAAGUCAACUCAAAGGCUUAAACAAUUACAUACACCCUAAGAAUAAAAAAAAAAUGACUCGGAAUAUUGCUGCAUAGGCACUUAGGCAGUACUUAAGGUCUAAGGAUCAGACCUACCUUAGAAGCCUGGCUCUUUCAUUUUUUUCAUGGAAGUAAUUCCUACUAUUUUGCAAUAGAUUAGACAAAGUAGCUUUUAUUGUCUUCUUUGUUUAGUACUUUCUUUCGAUAUUGUUGAUUUGGUUUGGAUUUGUACUGUAGUUUCUUGCUGGAAAGAGUGUUGAAGAAAUUCAAAAGGAUGCUGCAAGAGAAAGAAGAAGGGAAACGAUUGAGUUGGCGAAGGCUGCCAGACGAAAAGAUACUGCCACUGCAAGUUUAUACGCUACAACAACUAUGUGAGUUAACCUACUUCUAUGAUGUAUAUUUAUUGCUCAGCAUAUUUCAUAAAUAGUACCACUAUGAAUGGAAACUUAUUUCGUCUAAGACUGGUGCCCCUGUUUCCAACAUGUUCUCAAUUUUUCCAUUUUACAUGAUCUGUCUACUUUUUACUUUUAGGUGUUUAGCUUACUAAAACAAGUUAAGUAUACCUCUCUGUAUCUUUAUGAGAGGGAAAAGGUGGGGAAUCCAUCUUCCAGUGCCUCCCUAGUCCCUACUGCGUCUUCUUUGUUUCCUUCCUGGUUUCCAGGAUAUAACUCGGGUAGAGACACCUCUUUUUCAUGUCUUUAUGAAAACUCAAGUUUAGGCUGUGUGUCUACUUUGGAGUUUGGAUUGUAAUGUAAAAAAGUUGAUUCUUGGAUCAAUUAUUGCAAUAGGAAAAAGGGGACGAUAGUGGCUUUACCAUCAGAGACACUGUAGUGUGAAUGGUAUAUCCAUGCACCUUGCACCUCAUUUUAAUACCUCUGACCUUCUUAUCAAUAAGAUAUUAUUAAUUCCAGUUUCUUGACAACACACAGGAGAAGCCUUUUCUCCCAUUUUUUUCCUUUGUUCUUUCUUUUUCUCCCUUUUUCAUGCAGUCCACUCAUGAAAUGGUCUUGUUUGUCUUGGAUUGCGAAUUAUUGACCACACUGUUUGUGCAUGUUGAGGUUUUAUAUUAGAAUCAAAUGAGUGUUUGAUUGAUUAUGUAUGCCACCUAGUGGUGUAUAUAUAAAUAUAGUGAUAUUCUUAUGACUAAUGACAGUGGAGAAUUGAGUACCAGUAUAUGAGCGCGCAUUAUGUACCAUAUUAUCUAGGAUACGUAGGCAUUCUGGUGAUGGUAUUUUGUGGGUUAAAAUGUCAACGUCCUGAUGUGUGAUGGUAGUGAUUGCUAAUUUUAUUUGUGUUAUAGCUUUCAUUGAUGGCUCUCGUGUGUAUGUUGAAGACUUAGAAGUUCUUUUGCAUAUAUUCUUCAUGGCUUUAUAUGUUAAAAGACCCAAGCUCUAGAAGGCUUGGUUAGGUUCCUGGCCCUAUGAAGUCGACGUUGAAACAAUUAUUCAAUCAAAGACAGUAACAAAUCACAACUUUCCCACUUUUUAAUAAAUAACCAAUCAUUUUUUAUUUUAUUUUUUAAUAAUUAAACUUCCAUUACGAAAACAUAUUACAACUUCAAGUGUUGGGGGUACAUCUCCUCUUAAAAUCAUCAUAGAUAAAAAGAUAAAAUAGAAAGUAGUCUUAUUUUUGUUUAAGUAAAUAUAGCUACCAGUCUACCACCUUAGAUAGGAUAAAAUGUCAGUUCCUGCUUGUUGAUAUCAUGAAUGAAACAAUGAUUUGCUUGGCUUUUAGCUCCGAACAUGUUUAGUGUAAGUCCUUUGCCCGAUUGAAUGCCCAAACAGAAGAGAUCUUCUUCAAUAUUAAACGCACCUUGAGUUUGCAAGGUAUAAUUAGCACCUUGGAAAUGGAAGGUGAUGUCGGGAAAUGAGUCAAAAUCAUCUGGUUGAAAGAAAUAGCAUAAAUUCUGAUACGGAGAGUUGUUGUAAGUCUUUCUCAUCAAUUUAAACUGUUUGAAGUAAUCUUUCAAAACAUUCGUCAAACGAAUGUAUACAUCUGGGACAAGUGUGGUAAGCGGUGCUCCAGUGUCAAUAAAAAAUUUGGUAGUGAGACUUGUGAAAGCAUCCUUAGAUAGUCUAAUGUAAUUUCCGUUCACACUAAUGCCAAUGCAAUUCAACAGGUACCAUUGUCCAUUGAUUAUAGGAAUUGUUUGGACCUUUAUAUCAUUUGGCGGAACAUCCACACUGUUUCCAAAUUUUAUCCAAGAGGUGAUAGAUGAAUACCUAGGUAAGCAGUAAGAGAAACGUCUCAAGGAGGGCGGUAGUUGUGAUAAGAAUGAAAAACGCCCAGGUCCUAAUCCAAAUAUACCAGCAAUUUGAUUAUAUUCACCCAAGUGAAUUACGUUGUCCAACCCAAUCCCAAAUAUCAUUUUAAGUUUCUCUUCGCCCAAAGUGUCUGAAUCAAAUGUCAUAUCAUCCUUCACGAUGAACCCUCUUGUACCUCCAUGAACAUUGUCACCGUAAUAUUGUUCAUAUACACAGAAAUGAUCAAUAUUACACAUCUUUUGGCAUAAGGGGUGCUCACAAUCUAGAUAAGUAAAUGAAGUUGAUUGUUCAGAGUUGAAGGAACCAUUCUCGAUAUAAAAACACCGUAUGCAGUCGUGAGCUUGGACCCAAGUAAGAUGGCUCCCGGUGUCAAACAUCAAGUAAAAUUGGAUUCCCGGUGUACCAAUGCGUAAAGACACCAUGUAGUACGGAUUUGGCUCUGAAAGAGUAAUUAAAGGUCGUAUAGUAUCUUUUUUGAGUUUUGAUCUUGAUUCCGUCCAACGUGCCCUAGAAAUUGUAAUAUCUACCAUUUUCUGGAAUCUUUCUUUGUGGGUAAGGUUUUUUUGGUAUUAGUUUUAUGCUAAACCCUUGAGCCGCACAAACCCAGAGACAAAGAAAGAAAAGAACCGAGAUAGCAAUACUAGGACCCAUGUUGCUGCCAAUUAAACAAAAAAUAAAAUUAGAUAGUUUGAUGCAAAAAGAGAGAAAAAGUUUGAUGCAAAAAGAGAGAAAAAUAUCAUAAAUAACCAACAAAAGCUAAAGAUGGGUGAAAUAUUAAUAGCAGUUGAAAUUUUAGAUAUACCACAUUCAUGGGGUUUGACGAAAUCAACCUAAUUAUUUUCUUAGACAACCUAUGUUGUUUUCAGGCUACUUUCCUAGGCUAUAUACAAUACACAAUAAAUACUAUGUUAUUAUCCAUACUGAAUAUACAUAUAUAUUAACUGUAUAUUUAACUAUGUAUAUGUAUAUAUAGUUAAAUAUAUACAGUUACCAAAACAAACUAUGUAUAUUAAAUAUGUCACAACCAAAAAAAACUAUUGUACUGUUACAUAUAUGCAGGGGGGUACAUACAGUAUACAAGGACGAAUCCAGGGGGUGCACGGUGCAACCGCACCCCCAAAAUUUGAAAUUUUCAUUAUUUUCCCUAUGUUUUUUUGUACAUAUAUCAUUAUUUCCCUAUGCUUUUUGCACGUAUAUAAAAAAUUUAGCUUAAAUAUGUAGAAUCGCCCUUCCAAAAACGAACUAAGGAUAUGUUUCAUCGACCUGAGAUAAAAGANNNNNNNNNNNNNNNNNNNNNNNNNNNNNNNNNNNNNNNNNNNNNNNNNNNNNNNNNNNNNNNNNNNNNNNNNNNNNNNNNNNNNNNNNNNNNNNNNNNNAAAAGGUGUCUUGUACAAAGUAAAGGUGAACCUGUCUAAUGCAGAUUGUAAAAUCCAUACCUAACCUAAAAAAAAAAUAAAAAAAUAUUAUGAUUUGAUAUAGAUUAAAAAGUAAAUAAAACAUUAAAUAUAGGGACUGUAAAUAAAUUGCACAUUACACAGUGUUGUUUACUUCAAUUUCAACCUAAUAAGUGUAGUUUUAUGAUUUCACUUGUAAGUAUAAUACACAUGAUUAUAAGGUGUUUCUUAGUAAGUGUGCAAAACACGUGGAAAAUUAUAAGGUUGGGACUGUAAAUAAAUUGCACGUUACACAGUGUGUAGGGAAAUUCCUAAAAUACACUAUCCCAAAUAUGGGACCAACAUUUUUUAUGCAAUUAAACAGGUUGUGCAAUUAUAGAGUGUGCAUUUAGACAGGUUUUACUGUAUAACUAUGUUACAUAGUUAUUAGGUUACUAAUCAGACUAAAUUUAGACAAAGGUCUGUUACUAUGUUACAUUUGGAUAUUAACCAUGUUAGUAUGUUACUACCAAAAAAAAAAAAAAAAAAACUCUUUUUGGGCUUAUUUCUUGUUGGUUCAGAAUGUAAGAACCAGGAAAUUUGUAAGCUCUUCUCCUGCUUGUUUUGAAAUGAAAUAUUUUUACUUUGAUAUUGGAAGUAUUCUCUUUCUUAUAGAAUAGUUUUAUGCGUACACAUUACUAAGUCUCAAAAAUAUCUAUUGGUGAAUAAUUAGCCUUCAAGUAUUUCAGAUAAGGAUUUUGUGUCAACCAGUGAUAUGGGUGCAAUUUAUCCUGAAGUAUCCCAUUUUUUUUCUUGUAAUUAUAGUGUAUCUUCCUUGAAGAUGGAAUGGUCAUUGCAUCUUUAAAUGUUGGAUAUUCUCCUAGUGUAUUAUAACUUUAUUUAUGGAGGUUCAAUAUCAGAUCAGUAUUUUAAAUUUUAUUUGGACUAGGCAAAAAGUGAAGUGAACGGUGUGAGUUAAUUUGAUAUAUUUGAUAGCAAUGUUGUCAUACUGAGUUUUGCAGGUUUUUCAUUUUACAUUUCGUUCGGACACUGGUGGCCAUUCAUACUAUUGACAACAUGAAUGCUCGAGGCAUGACUACACAUAAAGUUUGUGUGUGAUACAACAAUAGCACGGAGUCCAUUAAUCAUCUAUUCUUCUUGUGUCAGACCUCUGACAUGGGAUGGACUUGUUGGCCAUAUUGGAAGAAUGAGAGGUUCUAUGGAUGAUGUGGGACUAAGAGCUUUUUUCUCAAUUGGCCAAAACUUAAUUAUAGAGGUUUGAAUGAAGCUUGCUGGUGCAUCCUCCUUAUGCUGUCUUAUGGGUUCUUUGGAAUGUUAGAAACGUAAAAAUAUUUGAACAUUGCUAUUGAUAUUGGGAAAGUGAUUUUAGAGAGUGAAAUAUUCUCUAUUUAGACAUCAUGUGCAGAACUGUUGAUGUGAAGAAGUGGUAUAAGCUUGCUGAUUUGCUGUUACACUGGGGCAUGUUGGGUGUAGAUAGGAGGUAAUGAUGGCUGCUCAGCUGUGGUUAUCAGGAAGACGACUGUUUGCCAGGUAUGCAGGGAUAUGUGUGCAGACAGCAUACUCACAGAUUGCGUGUUGGGAUGCUACUGUUAUGGCUACUCUGCCGGAGAUGGCCUGAGAGCUACCGGGGAUGCAGGUGGCUGAAUGAAACAAGAGUAAACUGCUGCAGAGUCUUCAGCUGCUAGGAUGCUCUGGACAGUAAUGAGGAUGCUGAUUAAUGGAAGUGUUUUCGGCAGUGGUUGAAAGUUUACAUGUGUUGGGAAGCCCAAGUGUACUCGAGCAGUUUUGUUGGGUUGAGGACCUCACUCACCCAUUGUCAGGUAUCCUAAGCCAUUAGCGCUUGAGUGGUAUGCGUGGGGUGGACUAUAUAUUGUGAGGAAUGAGGAUUGUGGCAAAAGCCAAGGAGGGAGCCGUGACUAAAUUAUGUACUAUAUGUCCUUUUCUGCUACACUUUUACUCGACUAUUUACUCGAUGAAUGAAAUAUUCCUUACCAAAAAGAAAAAGAAAAAUUAUGUUGCUACCCCAAAAAAAAAAACCGAUGUUACUGUAUAUAAUCUUUAUUUACCAAAAAACGUACUAUGUAUAACAAAAUAAUCAAGCAUACCCGAAAGAUACAAAGUAACAAAAUAAUCAAGCAUACCUGAAAGAUACAAAGAGACGCAGAGACUAAGGGAGCUUUUCUCUUAUGAGAAUGAAUGAGAGAGACAGAGAUAGAGCUAAUAUUCUUAGAUAGCUUCAUCUCUGCAAUUUUAACCUACUCUCAACCAACUCUUCAUCUAUGCAAAUUUAAUAUUAAAUUACUAGAACAUACAACUUUGCUGUCCGCCAGUCCCACUAAGACAACUACAAAUAACAUAUAACACCAAAGGUCAUGUUAUGCUUAGUUAUUUUUCCUAUGGAUCACAUAUUCACAUUGGGAUGUUUUGCAGUACGUAUGCUAUCUGAAAGGAAGAUAUUCAUAUUGGGAUGUUUUCCUAUGGAUCACAUAUUCACAUUGGUUGGACCAGCGUGGAAGAUAAAAUUUAGAAAAAAAAAAAGGUUUUGCGUUAGGGGUACCCUUGAUAUAGGUAUAGGAGACGUGAAAAAAAAAGUGAUGGGAAAGUAGGUGGCACCUACGUGUAUGCUAAAUCGUCCCAUGUGUCGCAGUGUCGGCAAUAUUUGGGAGACCCAUUAGAGAUGCUCUAACAACCUUGUCAAUUUUCCAUGCAAGUGACAUAUGAUUGACGUUCAGGUCUUUGAAAAUCUUACAACAUCUGUGCUUCCAAAUUUCCCAUGUCACAGUAAUAUAAAAAGAGCUCCAAUAACCUUUUUUCAUAAGCCAAUUAUCUGGUGGUUUGAUCCAAAGUUUUAGCCAAUUUUCAGUUGAGAUGUUUUUGUAACGAGUUAAUCUAAAAUGACUAUUACAGUGAUACCAAACUGCCUGGGUAAAAGGGCAGUCCAGAAGCAUAUGCCUAAUAGUUUCCAAAGGGCAGUCACACAAAGGGCAUUUCUUGGAAGGGAUGAAGAAAUGUCUUCCAAGUCUCUCUCUAGUUGGAACAACACCGUGGAAACAUUUCCGGGCAAAGAUGAUAGCCUUAGGUGCAACAUGCACUUUCCACAACUUAAGAUUUAUCUUUUGAGUUUCAAUAGGUGUGGUGGAAAUGUUGGUGAGAAUUUUAUACAUAGAGUUGACAGUAAAGUUCCCUUUUUUGUUCCCUAACCAUAUAAUAGAAUCUUUAUAUUGUCUCCCUCAAGUUCAAACUAACUUAAGUGGCUCUUGGUUGCCCGUUCAAGUUCAACUUAACCAAACGUUACGUUGAGCGACACCCUAUUACCCCCCAUAACAUGAUUUUUUUACUAAGAAUAUGGGCGACUCUCUUUUGUCCGCCCCAUAACAUGCAAGCGGGUGUUAAAAGCCCGUCUUAAAGAAGCGGGUUUUCAAUGAUCAUUUAACCAAAGCGGUUCUCUAUUGCCCGCUCAAGUUUGAUGAACCAUUAGAGAAAACGAUUUUUAGUAGCAAAUAAACACAAAAUGGGUAUCAAAGAUGCUUAGGUGGACCACCAAAACAAAAAAACCAAAAACCAUUAGGGAUGCCCUUACACCACCAAAGGUUUUUUUCCGGGAAAACCUGUAAAUUUUUUGGUAACAUCAAAGGUCAUUUUCGGUAAAACUUGACUAAAAUGGGGAUAUCUCUAAUUUAUUUUCAGAUGGGGGUAAGUCCAAAAAUCUCAAAUAUUACUCUCGAGAUUUCAUAUAUACUUCAAAUCAAUGGUGGAUACAGUAAUUGCUUUGGACUUACUUUGCUCCUAGCUCACUGUACAUUUCUCAACUGUAUAUCUCAAUGCAUAAACAUCUACGCUUUACCAUCAAAGAACAUACAACUUUGCUGACCCAUUAAGACAACAACAAGCCUUCAUGACCAAGAUAUUCAACAAGAAGAACACCAAAGGUCAUUUUCGUCACUGAAUUUUUUUUCCAGAUCUUCUUCUUCUUCGUUCUAUCCCUUUCUUCCAUUCUUCUUUCACGCAAAGAGAGAGAGAGAGAGAGAGAGAUCUGAAAUUCUCUUUUCACACAAAACCCUUGAAAGAUGUCGAAAAUUACAAUUUUACUCAUCUUCACCCUUUCACUUGUUGUUCUCCCUUUCACUACUGCAGAAAUAAAAAACCUUCAAAUCACUUCUGACAGUCGUCCAAUGAUUCUGUUUGAAAAGUUCGGUUUCACUCAUUUCGGUCAUGUAACAGUUUCAAUCAAAGAUGUUACUUUCACUUCAACCUUAUCUCAACCCGAUCCAUCAAGAUUAGGGUUUUUUCUAUUAUCAGAUGAAGCUUUGAUUCAAGUUCUAAUUGAAUCUGAAACAAACCCUAAUUUCUGUGUUCUUGAUUCACAUUAUAUUCAAAAUCUAUUCACUUUUAAAGAAUUAGUUUCAAAGAACUCUUUCAAUCAAUCUUAUCCAGUUUCUGCUCCAAAUGAAUACUCACUCUUCUUUGCAAAUUGUCAAGCUGAAACUCAAGUCACUAUGACUGUAAGAACAGAGAUCUAUAAUCUUGAUGGGAAUGAAAAGGAUUUUCUAUCAGCAGGUCAAACUCAAUUACCUAUGCUUUAUUCCAUGUUUUCUUUAGCUUAUUUAGUGUUUGUGGGUGUUUGGGUAUAUGUUUGCAUAUCCAAUAAGCUAUCAAUGCAUCGGAUUCAUUUGUUAAUGGCUGGGUUACUUAUAAUGAAAGCUUUGAAUUUGAUUUGUGCUGCUGAAGAUAAACAUUAUGUUAAGGUUACUGGUACACCACAUGGUUGGGAUGUUUUGUUUUAUAUUUUCCAGUUUAUUAGAGUUACAUUGCUGUUUACUGUGAUUGUUUUGAUUGGAACUGGGUGGUCGUUUUUGAAGCCGUUUUUACAAGAGAGAGAGAAGAAAGUUUUGAUGAUUGUCAUUCCAUUGCAAGUUAUUGCUAAUGUGGCUUCUGUUGUGAUUGGAGAAACUGGGCCUUUUAUUAAGGAUUGGGUUACUUGGAAUCAGGUGUUCUUGUUGAUUGAUAUUGUUUGUUGUUGUGCAAUCAUAUUCCCAAUUGUGUGGUCAAUUAGGGGUUUGAGAGAGACUUCCAAGACUGAUGGGAAAGCUGCAAGGAAUUUGGCAAAGUUGACUCUUUUCAGGCAAUUCUACAUUGUUGUCAUUGGGUAUUUGUACUUUACAAGGAUUGUUGUUUUUGCCCUAAGGACUAUUUCUGCUUAUAAAUAUCAGUGGGUAAGCAAUGCAGCUGAGGAAAUUGCAAGUCUUGCUUUCUACAUGGUAAUGUUCUAUAUGUUCCGGCCAGUCGAGAAGAAUUUGUACUUUGUUCUUGACGAGGAGGAUGAAGAGGCUGCUCAGCAAAUACUUCAGGAUGAGGAAUUCGAGCUUUGAAGCUUAUCAUGGUCUUGUUGUGUCUCUUACCGCUCUGACUGUAAUAGCUUGAGAGUUGGAUUACGAAAUUUACAAAUAGGAUUGCUGGUCAAGAGUAUGCAGCUGCUCCCAUUUACCACUAGCUUUUUUCGUGUAAUAAGACAAUAUUUCCUUUCAUGUUUCAUGGUUUGGGUUGUGGCUCUUGAUAUUGUUCCUUUUUUGUUAUUCAGCAAAGGAUGGAGUAAGUUACAAUUAUACUCUGAUUUUUUUUUCUUUGUUAUAUUUGGACAUUGUUUGGUAGCAACAUAGUAGUAGUUAUUCCUAUAUUGCAUCACAUUGUUAACAAUUCUUUCUGGUAGACUCCCUACAUUUAUGCACCUUUGAUAUCACUUAGUUCUCUUGCUUAACUAAAACUUCAAUGGCUGUGAACAUAUUUUACAAGUUAAUGUGUUUCUUUGCAUAUGUUUAUAUGUGCUAUGCUUCAGAUUCUAUGUUCAUAUUACUUUGAAUGUUUAUACUUGGUUUUGUCGCACCAUUUCUCUUAUGCCAAUACCAUGAGAUAUAUAAUCAUUUGAUUUGGCGUGAGCUUUAUUUUUGACACACGGUUGGGUGUUUCAUAUGUAGUGGUUUGCAAGGUUUGCGUCAAAGAUCUUUUUCCUUUUCUUUUAUGUUUCAAAAUUUCCCCUCUGACUGUUUAGAGUUGGAUUACCAAAUUUACAAAUAGGAUUGCUGGUCAAGAGUGUGCAAGCUCCCAUUUACCACUAGUUUUUUUUUUUUUUUUUUUAUGUGUGUGUGUAAUAAGACAAAAUUUCCUUUCAUGUUUCAUGGUUUGGGUUGUGGCUCUUGUUAUUGUUCCUUUUUUCUUAUUCAUCAAAGGAUGGAGUAAACGAGUAAGUUUAAACUAUACUUAGAUUUUUUUUUUUUUUUGUUAUAUUUGCACAGAGUGUUUAGUAGCAACAUGGUAGUAGUUGUUUUUAUACUGUAUCACAAUGUUCAUGAUUCUUACUGGUAUAUCCCCUACAUUUGUCAAAAAUAAAAAUCCCCCUACAUUUGUGCACCCUUCGUAUCACUAAAAAUUCUCUUGUUUGACUAAUAAAACCUCAAUGAUUUUGAACUUAUUUUAUGGGUUUAUAUGUUGGCCUAAUUUGUUUGUUUGUAUAUAUUUGUAUGUACUAUUUUUUUAGAUUCUAUGUUAAUAAUAGCUGAAUGUCUAUGCGUGGUUUUGUCACACCAUUUAUCUUAUCCAGAAAUAUAUAAUCAUUUUGAUUUGGUGUGAUAUUUAUUUUUGACACACGCUUGGGUGUUUCAUAUGUUGCAAGGUCCUGUCUUGCAUCAAAUAUACGUUUCUUUCUUUUUUUGUUACAAGCUUGUGGUAGUUUUGGGGUUAGGAACAAAAAUCUAAGGAUGUGACUUGCUAGGCAGGUAGUAUGAUUCCUUGUUCUACGAGUGAAUUUAUCACAAACCGUCAAAUUUGUUUACCUAUUGCUAGUAAGGGUCCACUUUGAUUAUUAUUAUUAUUAUUUUUUUUGUUAGUUUUGUUCUUUUUCGUUUGACAUACUCUUAAAUCUGUUUGAUUUCCUUGAGGACAACCUUUAUGCUGGUCAAUCUAAUAUUGGUGUUUGAGUUUUCUAGAGGUGUUAGUUUUGUCAGUAUGUCACUAUUACUCAAGCAGCUCAUGGAAGACUAGGAUUAAAGUUUUGAGUUCCUAAAGGUGUUGGCUAUAUUAGUGGGUAAAAUUUAUAGGAGCUGUAUAAUCUUAGAGUGAAUAACUGAAUAUUGUCUUCUACUGUAGUUGUGCUAUUCCUAAGAUCAUGUUGUGUUUAAUUAUUUUGUUCCUUAAAAGUAUGUAGAAGGUAGUUUUCUUCCUAAGUUUGCAGAAGUGUAUUCAUGUUGUGAUUAUAUUUAUAUCAUGCAAAUUUCUCACUCAUAGUGAGAGACAAUAAGAAAAGCGACUACCAACUACAUCUGCUAUGAUGCGGCAAAACAAGUCUGGAAAAUCAAAAGAAAUAGAGCCAAAUAACUUCAUCUAAUCAUAUAUUUUCCUCCUUUUCUUUUUUUGGGUGAAGACAUGUUCAUGUAUAUGAUAUAAGCCUCUUGGUUUUCUCUCAUUAAGAGUCUCUGGUGCUCUUCCUCUUCUGAACACAUUGGUUACUUUCCUAUUUGUUUUCCUAUUUGCAACGCUUAAUUAUGCACUUUCCACCCGUUUCUUCCUCUGCAACUUCUUUGCAAUAGUCUUUUUAAAGUUUGUUCUCUUGAUAAAUUCCAGUGAUUCCUGACCGAAUUUCAAUUGGUGCUGUCUCUGGCCCCAACUAAUUCUUCGGAUCGCACCACCUUUCGAAAUAAUUUAGGAUGAGUAAUAGGAUCAAAUGGGUUGUCUAUCACAGUGAGUCCUUUGGCACUCAAUAUGAUGAGAGAGACGCACAAACAUAACAACAUGCAGAUUGAUCUUCAGAGCAGCAGCAGAAUAUAUAGGACAAUAACACAAGUCCAAGAAGCUAGUUUUGCAUAUUGUCAUAUUGACAGGCUCCUGCCAUACUAAGGUAAAAUUACUUGCACAAGGGCCGUCUUUCUUUUCUUUUCUUCUUUCAUUGGCAUGAGGUUUAUCGCAAACCGACAAAUAUUAACCUACUAUAUAUGGGUAACAAGGGUCCACAUUGAUUGUUAUUCUGGCUGGGGAGGGCUUGUUUGACAUUCAAUUCUUUUUGUUUGUUUGAUCUCCUUGAGGAUAACCUUUCUGCUGGUCAUCUGAUAUUGGUGUUGAGGUUUUUGUUAUAUGAAUAUAUGGUGUGCUUUGCAGUCAUGUUGCUCUAUUGCUCAAGCAGAAGGGGAAAGACUUUCAGUACUAGGAUUAAGGUUUGUUCUUAUAGGAGUUAUUAAACUUGGAGUGAAUAUUGCUCAAGCAGAAUAUUUCUGCGACACCAAAGAAUCACAACAUAUAAAAUUUCAGUUCUUCCUCUUCUGAAGAUCGUUCACAUUGUCCUUGUGCGUGGGUGGUAACUGGUUGUGCGUGGGUGGUAACUGGUAUGAUGGCUAAGGCUUUGUUGUUCACAGUGAGUCCUUUGGCAACAUCUGUUUUUUCUGAAGAUAUAUCUGGAUAUAAGUUUUUACAGUUUUUUCUCCUGAGUAUUUCCACCACUGAGUCGUGAUGAUGGUCCCAUCCUGGUCCCUUAAAAUAAUUAGUACCGUAUUCAUUCAGGAAGAUGAAGAUCGUUCACAUUGUCCUUGUGGAUGGGUGGUAUCAUGGCUAAGGCUUUGUCAUUCACAGUGAGUCCUUUGGCACCCCGUAUGAUGAGAGACAAUGUAAAUAAAUACAGGAAAAUAACAACGCGAUUGGUAUUCAUAUUGGUGUUCAUAGCGGCAGAACAGAGAGAGAAAGAGAAACAAAUAAAUUUCUAAAAUUUGCAGUCUUGCAGAAGUGUAUACAUGCAUGCAAAUAAGCAAAUUGAUAUAUAUAACUCAAGGUGAGACAAAAAGAAAAUCAAUUUUCCUUUGUAAUUAAAAUCAAAUCGCCAUAAUACCAACCUAUAUAACUAGGUUUGCUGUAAUGCUCAAAACAGUUAGAAAAUCUAAAGAAUUAAAAAGAAAUAAUUAACCCCAUCUAAUUUAAUAUGUUAGACCAAAUAAUUUCUUUAUUUCGAUUUUGUUCAAGAACUUACUGAUAUAAACGAGAUAAGCCUCUUGGCUCUCUCUCAUUAUGAGUCUUUGGUAUUCUUCUUCUUCUGCACAUAUGGGUUGAUAUUGAUCCUUUCCUAUUUGCACCGCAUAACCAUGCACUUUUUCCCCCAGUUUAUGCCUCUGCAACAUUCUUGCAACAACCUUUUUACAGUUGUGUGUCUCGAUCCAGUCCAGUACGUCCUCAUUGUUAAACAAAACCUCAUAUUGCAUGCCACCAAUUUCAAUUUUUGUUCUUGAUGAUCCUAUCGAAUGUGCCCGAGAAACGGUAAGAUCUAUCAAUUUUUGGAAUCUUUCUUCUUGGGUAAGAUUUUUCUCAUAAAGUGGUGACUCAGGCGAGUCCAUUGGGAUUAAUUUCAUGCUAAAUCCUUGAGUUGCACAAACCAAGUGAAAGAGAAAGAAAAGAACCAAGAUAUGCAUACUAGGAGCCAUGUUGCUGCCAACAAAAGAAAAAAUUAAUUUUCUGCUUGAUUUCUGGAAAAAAAAAUACAUUAAUUUUGUUAUAAGCAUGCAAUUCAAUAUUUUAAUAUAAAGCAAAAAAAAAAAAAAAAAAAAAAAUUAAACAUGUUAUACCUUGGAAUAGAGGGAGAGAGACAGAGCAGCAGCCAGUGGCGGAUCUAAGGGGGGUCAUGGGGUAUCACUUGACACCCCUGAAGUUUUGCAAUUUUUUUACUAUAUAUGUUCAAUUUGUUAAUUUUUUUAAAUAUAUUUAUUACCAAAGAUACUAUAUUGUAUCUUCUAAUAAAGUAAUAUCUGUUAAAUUGUUUUUCAUUCUCAUAAUUUAAAGAUUUUAUAAAGAUCUAGAAGAUCUUACAUAAAUAAAAUGUUAAAAUAUCUUUACAUUUAUGUACAUAAUAGAAAAUUACAAUUUUUUAUGUGUAUUUUUCGCCAACCUUCUAAAAAAAUUAAUUUUGAGUUAUAUCAAAAAAAAAAAAAUAAAAAAAAUUCAAUCAACAAUCUCUUUUUUCUUGUUCAUCCAAUCACAUCUAUUUGAAUUUUGGUCUUUAACAUAAUGUUUUAGACGCAGAGGUGCAAGUUUUGUAUGGUGGCAUGCUCUCAUAUAAUUGGGUCGAGUUGGUUGGGGUCUCAUAAUCUGACGGUAUCAUCUCAUGGCAUGUUGUUCAAAAUUGUUUGUGUGGUUUCUUUAUCAAUAAAUUGUGAAUUAUAUAUAUAUAAAAUGACGUCUGAAAUGAAAUAGACAAAUUUUUGAAGUAAUUACUUACUUUUUUUCUUGUUUAUAUCAACUCUUGAUUAUAUUUAUUUAUUUUUAAUUAAAGUCUAUUUUACAUGAAAUGAUAGUUUUCUAGAGGUGUUUAAUUUCUAACAUUUUUUUUUUGUCUAGAUGUAUAACAUUCUUGACCCCCCUAGCAGAAGAUCCUAAAUCCGCCAUUGGCAGCAGCGAAGUUAUCAAGAGAGAUAAAUCUGAUGAGUUUAGUCCUCUACUCCUCUCUCUCUCUCUAUAUACAGAGAGAGAAAGAUUUGUCAUGGGAAUAGGGAUCCAAGAAGAAUUGGAUCUCGUGUAAUCAGUGUACGUGUUAGAUUAGAUGUCUCUACUCUCUACAAAUUACCUUUCCAUAAUCACUUGGGUUCUCAGCGUAAACGAGGUGGAGACUGGAGAGGAGGAAGAAGACUAGUAUCUAUGGGUGCAUACAUACCCCAACUUAGCCAUAUGUGGAAGUGGGGGUUUUGGAGUUUGGACUUAACCCCCCCAAAUAGUGACCAGGUUUGGUGCAAACCCCUCAUAGUGAUAUUUUGGACUUCACACCCUACCGUUAAAAAUGCAAUAUUGUAUCUUCAUUAAGCAGGAUAGCAACAAAGACUUUUCUUGGCGGAUGUUACAUCGCUCAUUUUUUUAUCAUUAAAAAUGAUACGUACCAUAUAAACAAGCCCCCGAUAGACCUGUACAGCCCAAGGUUAAAGACCCGCAAAAAUUUCAAAACCACGUUCCACACAUUGUAGAAGUCAAGCAGGCAGUUUAGAGCUACACAUACAAUUGCACUCUACCCUGAAAGCCCUGUCUGUGAUGUCAAAGAAGAGUGCACAUCCUUGAAUGAGAAUCCAUUGAAACCCCUUACUAGUUGUACAAGAAAUUAGGGGUGGGCACGGUUCGGUUCGGUUCGGUUUUGGACAAAACUGUCAACCGAACACCUAGCAGGUGUUUUGCAAAAGUCUAAACCGAAACCGAACUUUUUUAUUUUUAAAACCGAACCGAACCGAACCGAAUACUUUUAACUAAAACCGAAACCGAACCGAACAUAUAAUUAAGUUCGGUUAACCGAAUAAAACCGAACCGAACCGAAAAACUGAUAUAUUUGAAAAAUCUGAAAAUCUGAAAUGGGCUGUAGUGGUCUGUUCACUGUUGGAUACUUGGAUAUUGGGCUGGACUCCUGGAUAGAUGGGAUGGGUUGGACUAUGGAGAGAUGGGCUGUAGUGGGUUGUAUACAAAAUACAUGUUCGGUUCGGUUUUGGGUGUUCGAAAAUUUUCGAAACUGCAACCGAACACCCAAAGCAGGUGUUUUGCCAAAUUAGAAACUGCAACCGAACAUGGAAACAUGUAAACACCCUAUUUUCGGUUCGGAUCGGUUCGGUUCGGUUCGGUUUACAUGUUUCGGAUCGGUUUUGCCCACCCCUACAAGAAAUGACGUGAAACCACAUAUCAUUAUGUUGAAACACGUCAAUCCCAAACAUUACAAUGAAAAGCCGAACCAACAGGUGAAAUCUGCUUCUAUAAACUCAAAUUAUUUAACUCGGCUAGCUAUCUGAAAGGGUUUUAGUUUUUAGAUUGAAUAAGGUUCCUAGUAUCUAGGAAGAGUUGUUCACAGUUGACACUUUCUUUGGUGUUUCUGCUUUGAUUUUUUCUUUUAUCACGUUUCUGUUAGUUGAGCUAUUUUCUAGCUAUUUGGUUUAUUUGUAAGGCUAUAUAACAGCCACUUUUAUUCAAUAAUAUCAAGUCAUUUCAAUCUAGUUUUGUUUGUUUGAGUUCUUUUCUUGUUCUCAUUCUCAACAAUCUGGUAUACGAGCCAAAAGGAAAAGCUGCAGUCUUUUUGAGUGAUUUCUAAAACACAGAGUGAAAAGAUGGCAGCAGAGUCAAGUAACUUUGCACAGCCUUGCAUUCCAAAGUUUGAUGGGGAUUAUGAGCAUUGGAACAUGCUAAUGGAGAAUCUCCUUCGUUCAAAGGAGUAUUGGAGUGUUAUUGAGACGGGGUAUGCAGAACCCGCAGUUGAAGAAGUUUUAACAAAUGCAUAGAGAAAAACUUUGGAGAAGACAAAGUUGAAGGAUCUUAAAGCCAAGAACUAUCUCUUUCAAUCCAUUGAUAAGUCCAUUCUGAAGACCAUUGCUCAGAAAGAGACGGCAAAACAGCUGUGGGAUUCCAUGAAGGUCAAGUACCAGGGAAACGCUAGGGAGCAGCGUGCUCAACUUCAAAUUCUUCGCAGGAAUUUUGAAGUAUUGGAGAUGAAACUUGGAGAAUCUGUCACAAAUUACUUUGCAAGGGUAAUGCUGGUGGCAAACGAUAUGAGGAAUCUUGGAGAGAACAUGCCUGAUGUGAAGAUCGUUGAGAAGAUCUUGCGCACACUUACGGAGAGGUUCAACUACAUAGUUUGUUCAAUCGAGGAAUCGAAAGACAUCAAUCGUCUUUCGGUGGAUGAGCUGCAGAGUUCCUUACUUGUUCAUGAACAAAAGUUUCGAAAGCCUGAAGGCGAUGACCAAGCACUGAGAGUUUAUGAUGAAAGAAUUGGAGGAAGAGGCCGAGGAAGAAGUAAUUACAAAGGAAGAGGUCUUGGACGAGGACAACUGCUCAAUAAGGACACAAUAGAAUGCUUCAAGUGUCACAAGCUUGGCCAUUUCCAAUCUGAAUGUCCAACUUGGCACAAGGAAGCCAAUUAUGCAGAAUUGAAUGAAGACGAUGAGAGGCUGCUGAUGGCGUAUGUUGAAUUGCAUGAGGUGAAACGAAAUGAUGCAUGGUUCCUUGAUUCAGGAUGCUCCAAUCAUAUGUGUGGCUAUCGAGGUAUGUUUACCAAUUUAGAUGAAAGUUUUCAACAUACAGUUAAGUUGGGAAACAAUAGUAAAAUGAGUGUGGCUGGAAAAGGAAAUGUAAACCUAUUGUUGAAUGGAGUUAAUUAUGUUGUCAAUGAAGUGUACUAUGUUCCAGAGCUCAAAAAUAAUCUCUUGAGCAUAGGACAACUUCAAGAGAGAGGGUUAGCAAUUUUAAUUAAGGGAGGAGCAUGUAAGAUCUACCAUCCAAGGAAGGGUUUAAUCAUUCAAACUCUAAUGAGUGCCAACAGAAUGUUCAUCCUGCUCGCACAGACUCCAGUUCAAGUACCUGCCCAUGCUCAACCAGAGAGGUGUCUUCACACAAGCUCUCUAGAUCUUUCUUACCUUUGGCAUAGGCGAUAUGGCCAUUUAAGCUAUAAAGGUCUAACAACCCUGCAAUCAAAGAAGAUGGUAUGUGGACUCCCUCAAUUUUCUGCCUCAAGCUUGACUUGCACAGAUUGUAUCAAUGGCAAGCAACACAGAGAUGCCAUGCCGCAGAAAAGCACUUGGAGAGCAAGUCAGAAAUUGGAACUAAUUCACGCCGAUAUUUGCGGUCCUAUCACACCUGAGUCUAACGGCGGAAAGAGGUACAUAUUGUGUUUCAUUGAUGAUUUUAGUCGAAAAUCAUGGGUGUUUUUCUUAGUUGAAAAGUCGGAGGCACUGAAUUGCUUUAAAAGAUUUAAAAUAAUGGUGGAAAAGGAGACAGGGAUGUUUGUAAAGUGUUUUAGGACUGAUAGAGGAGGCGAAUUUACUUCCAACGAGUUUAAUGAGUUUUGCAGGCAGCAAGGUAUCAAGAGGCAGCUGACCACAGCAUACACUCCGCAGCAUAAUGGUGUAGCCGAAAGAAAAAACAGAACAGUGAUGAACAUGGUUCGAUCGAUGCUUUCGGACAAAAGAAUUCCAAGGACUUUUUGGCCGGAGGCAGUGACUUGGACAUUCUAUGUUCUCAACAGGUGUCCAACAUUGGCAGUGAAAGAUAUUACACCUCAGGAAGCAUGGGGUGGGAUCAAACCCUCCGUCGAUCACUUUCGAAUCUUUGGUUGCUUGGCUCAUGUACACAUUCCAUAUGUGAGGAGAGGUAAGCUUGAUCAUAAAAGUUUUCCUUGUGUAUUUUUGGGGGUUAGUGAGGAGUCAAAAGGGUAUAGAUUGUUUGAUCCUAUCAAUAAGAAGAUUGUAAUUAGUAGGGAUGUGGUUUUCGAAGAAGAAAAAGAGUGGGAUUGGGGUGUGUCUUAUGCGAAGCAAAUUCUUUUAAACUUAGAGUGGGGUGAGAAUGAAGAAAACAGUGAGAAAGAGAGAGAGAGAGAGAGUGACGGUGGUGGCGAAGAUGAUAAUGAUGGUGAGGAAGGAAACAAUGAUUUAGGAAUUGGUGAUGGAGAUAGAACUAGCGAUGAAGAAGAUGCAGGGAGAGUGAGGGGUCCUCCGGUGUGGAUGCACGAUUAUGUUACUGGAGAAGGAUUAUCUGAUGAUGAAGCAAAUAUGGCAUUGGUUGUGUCAACUGAUCCUGUUCUUUUCGAAGAGGCGGUGCAGAAUACACAUUGGAGACAUGCUAUGGACUGUGAGAUCAAUUCCAUAGAGAAGAACAAGACUUGGUCACUUACUGAACUGCCGGUUGGAACGAAAAAAAUUGGAGUGAAGUGGGUGUACAAAAUAAAGUACAAUGAGCAUGGAGAGAUUGAUAAACACAAGGCACGGCUGGUCGCUAAAGGGUACUCACAAAAGCAUGGCAUAGACUACACAGAGGUUUAUGCACCGGUGGCAAGGUUGGAUACUGUGAGGAUGAUUAUUGCUUUAGCAGCACACAAAAGCUGGAAAAUAUUUCAGUUAGAUGUCAAAUCAGCCUUUCUUCAUGGUGAGCUAAACGAAGAUGUCUAUGUUGAACAACCGAAGGGGUAUGAAAAAAGGGCAGCGAACAUCUAGUGUACAAGUUACAUAAGCUUUGUAUGGAUUAAAGCAAGCUCCACGAGCUUGGUUUAGCCGCAUUGAAGCACACUUCAUCAAUGAAGGUUUCCAACGGUGUGACAGCGAGCAGACAUUGUUCACUAAGAAAAGCAGGGAAGGAAAGAUCAUCAUUGUAAGUGUUUAUGUUGACGAUUUAAUUUUUACUGGUGAUGAUGAAAUUAUGCUGACCGAGUUUAAAAGUUCCAUGAUGAGAGAGUUCGACAUGUCGGACUUGGGGAAAAUGCGGUUUUUUCUUGGGAUUGAAGUUACAGAGAGCAGAUGGUAUCUACAUAUGCCAAAAGAAAUAUGCAUUAGAAGUUUUGAAGAGGUUUGGUAUGAUGGAGAGCAAUUCAGUUAAUAAUCCAAUAGUUCCUGGAUGCAAAAUUAACAAAGAUGAAGAUGGUACUACAGUAGAUGAAACGUACUACAAGCAAUUGGUGGGCAGUUUGAUGUAUCUCACGGCCACAAGACCGGAUAUGAUGUUUGUCACUUGUCUCAUAAGUAGAUACAUGUCCAGACCUACAGAGCUUCAUCUACAAGUAGCAAAAAGGGCACUUCGAUAUUUGAGAGGGACCGUAAAUUUUGGAAUUCAUUACAAGAAAGGAGGAAAAGGUGAAUUGCUUGCAUAUACAGAUAGUGACUAUGCAGGGGAUACAGAUGAUAGGAAGAGUACAAGUGGGUAUGUAUUUUUGCUGAGCUCUGGAGCAGUGUCGUGGAGUUCGAAAAAGCAGCCAAUAGUGACUUUAUCCACCACAAAGGCAGAAUUUGUUGCAGCUGCAAUGUGUGCAUGUCAAGCUCUCUGGAUAAAAAGGAUUUUGAAUGAGUUGGGGCAUUUUGAUGGAGGGUGCACACAUGUGAGAUGUGACAAUAGUUCAACUAUCAAACUAUCUAAGAAUCCGGUGAUGCAUGGGCGUAGCAAGCAUAUCGAUGUGAGAUACCAUUUUUUGAGAAAUCUUACUAAGAAAGGUACAAUUGCUUUAGCUUAUUAUGGAAGUCAGGAUCAGGUGGCAGAUUUGAUGACCAAACCGUUGAAGCUCGAUGCUUUUUUGAAGUUAAGAGAGUUGUUGGGUGUUGGAGAAGUUCUCGAUAUAAACUGACUGCAAUUUGCAGUAAGUUUAAGGGAAGGAAUGAAAGGGUUUUAGUUUUUAGAUUGAAUAAGGUUCCUAGUGUUGUUCACAGUUGACACUUUCUUUGGUGUUUCUGCUUUGAUUUUUUCUUUUACCACGUUUCUGUUAGUUGAGCUAUUUUCUAGCUAUUUGGUUUAUUUGUAAGGCUAUAUAACAGCCACUUUUAUUCAAUAAUAUCAAGUCAUUUCAAUCUAGUUUUGUUUGUUUGAGUUCUUUUCUUGUUCUCAUUCUCAAUACUAUCAUCAUCAUACAUACUCGGAGCGGAAAAAAUUCCCUUGGCCAAGGAAUUAAAUAACACCCUUUACAAUAGUUUGUCUGUGAUAGAAAGAACUGAAGAACACAUACUAAAACAGUCAUAAUUUACCAUCACCCGAAUGUUUACCUCGUGAUUCGUAAGGGAUGUUGGAAUCAUAAGAAGUGAAAUUUCCCACUUUUCAGUUCAAUAUUGUUGUCGGCGCAGUACUUGAGAAAAACUUUACAAAUUUCCAUAAGCAAGUGUAACCCUCCAUAGUAACCUUCAUUCUGCAACCUCUCCACCUGAAUGAUGACAUAUGACCAUGUUAUAAUGCACGUAUGAAAUAAUAAAGUGCAUGUUUAAGCCUUCUAGAAGUAAAAGUCAGAUUAUGUUUGAUUGGCUGUAGAUAUCACGCUUACAACCUUCAACCUUGAACCUUGUAGUUGUUUGCACAGAUUUUUUUUUCUAUCAAUCCAGCCUCCUAAUUCCAGCUCUUCCCUUCCACUCUCGAAUUCACUUAAUUUGAAUAUUUCUAUCAAUCCAGCCUACAUUAGAGAAACACUCAUAAUGAGCUCACUACAAUAAUAUCAACCACACCUUAGGCAUUCCAUAAAAUCGGCUACUAAACCCGUUAUAAUUUAUCUAAAAAUGUUCAGUAAUUAACGAUCAUAACAAUCUUAACAUUUCAACAUCAUACCGAUAACAUGAUCCUUGCAUACCAAUUGAGAUCAUUUAUUCAAAACUUGCAAAUCGUUCACAUCAAUUGCAACAAAAGUAAUCAUUAAAGAUGAUUAUGACACAAAAUGGACCAGGUGAUUGAGUGAGCUGAAUCAGACUAGAUCAUGAGUAGGAUGAGACUGAAUGACAAGAUCUUCUAAAGGUUGCAAUCGAACAGUCAGUCAUAAAUUGCCAAGACUCAACGAGAUGGUACAACCAAAGUAGACAUCACUAGGACCUCCAAAAACUCAAGAAACGCAAUCCUGGCAUACGACUUGUGUCCGAUGAUCUUGCUAGUUUCUUCAGCUCAUACUGUUUUCAGUUUUUUUCUUGCAGACAUUUUGUCAUGAAAAACUUCUGCAAAAUAUUAACUUCCUUGAUUUAAUACUUAAUGGUUCUGAUUCAAAAGCGACCUUUGGCAAGCCUAUGUUCAUCAUAACUGAGAGAAAAUUGAACCAUUGCAGAGAAAAUAAUGUAGCAGAUGGAAUGCUUUAACAAAAAUCUACCGACCCACAUGAUGUCUUAAAGCUCUGGUUAGGUGCCAAGCAAAGCCAAUGAACAUCAUACUCAAAAUUUUGUAAUGAGCUUUCUUGCUGACCAAACUUUAAUGCACCGAACUUAAAAACCAAGGUGAUUCAAUAGUUUGGUUCCCUAUAGCACGACCAAGUUUUCCAUUAAAAAGAGAUGCAUAUACGACCAGUGUUGUUGCUAUAUCUAAACUACAGAAAUAUGACAAUAUUUAAGGACAGUACAAAACUCACUCCCUAAAAUCUCAAAAAACAAUAAUACUCCUAUCAAUGAUCCAGAAGUAAGCACAUAAAUAACCAAAACCCCCCAACUAUAGAUUCCCCAUCCUAGAUAUCGCAACAAUUAUUAACCAAUAAGACUAAAUGACCAACCUCAUCACGCCUUUAGCAAGCUUUAGUGGUAUUAUAGCACGACAAAAAACGCAACAAAUAAUCAACAAGAAUACUUUUUUACCUUGUAUUAUUCCACUCUGACACGUUUUCAGCUUCUGCCGCAUCUAAAUGAUCCAAAAGAGACCUAUGUCUCUGUGCUUGCAAAUUCUCCGACUUACUUCCUUCACUACAUCCACUUUAUUCAUCAAAGAUCAUGCAAUAUCACAUGCAGUAUUCGUGCAACCUGUGGGUGCUUCAGUUGAGCCAGAAGUUAGAGAACAAUUUAAAUCAGGUGUGUGGUUAAUUUGUUAUCUAUUUCCACUGGCUCCUAACAAAACUUGAGAAAUAAGGAACACUUUUGAGGAAAAUAAUACCGUAAGAGUAUUUUGUGACAAUGUGCAUGAGAGUGGGUCGUGCUCCAGCAGCAUUAUAAUAAUAUAUUCAGAUUCAAGAUCUGUCUGAUUGAUGGUUGACAUUAUAUGCUGUUACUAAAUCCGUAUGUAUACUCUUAUAUAUAUUCGGAUCCUGAAAUAAGCCAUAUUUGAUGCAUUCAACUUGGGUCCUUUUUGGGUUUAAGACUUAAUUGAGUUUGGAUCUUGUUCUUCUUUUCUUUUUACACGAAUUUGUAAUUGGUUGUGUAAAAGCAUGUGUGUAUAUAUUUUAGAACCGUGAGACAGAGACGACUGACUUUGGGAGAGAGGGAGAGAGGAGCUGAAGAGGAAGAUGGAGAAAGAGGAGAAGAGAGAUGAGUUGAGAAGGAGUAGGGACAGACAGAAUAAUAAUAAAAAAAAAAAAAGGUUGAGAAAGGGUACAGACACACAUCAGUUUUAUCCCACCUGGUGCUAAAUGGACCUUCUGAAGUCAGUCAAUUAGGUGGAAUUAUGCAUAAUAAAAGGAAAUGUCCUGCACAGCUAACCUCUCUAAUUAAAGCAAGAAGUAUGUCUUGGUUUGAUGUGUUUUUUCGUUUAGUUAAGAGAACAGUACUUAAUCCCAGCUUUGACAUCAUGGCGCUUACUUAUCUAUUCUAUUUCUGUUAAAAAUUGUAGAUUGUCAUACUAAAAAGCGCAAACAGGGCAUGUGUUCAGGAAAUUGAUAGUGCACAACUUUGGGGAAGGCAAAUGAUCCAAACUUGUAGGAACUCGAACUGUCUCCCCGAGAGUUAAACAAUGGUGGUAGAUCAGGACAAACAUUGAAACCAUCCUCUUGGACCCGAAUAGGGAAAAAAAUCAAGAAAUAAUUGGAAAGUGUUACAGUGAAAAGAAAUUGAAAAAUAAUCUGGCGUUUAUGGGGAAGCAAUAUCAUACUUGGGCAAAUCUCACCAAUGAAGAUAUAAUGCUGCUAGACUGAUAGUAAUAGAAUUGAUUGGUCUCCUGAGAUGUGGGAGGAGUACCAAAAGGUAAUUACCACCUCGAUUAGGACAUGAUUCUCAGAUUCGUAUGUGUGGAACGCAAUGGAGAUCAGUAGCAUUACUUACUCGAGAUUAUACAUGAAAUUUGCUGUCUCUAGUACCAUUAUACAGUAUACUCCAUCAUUUUGACUUUAAAGUAAUGUCAAAUCUGUCUUGAAUAUAACUCAAAUUGCUCAUCUCACUUUUGUAUGUGAGCCUGUGAGUAACACAAUGGAGAUCCGUAGCAUUGAUUAAUUGAAAUAUACAUGAAAAUUUACUGUCUCUAGUAUUAUUAUAUACUACCAUUUUGACUUUAAAAUAUUGUCAAAACUAUCUCUUGUAUAUUUAAAAUUUGCAUGUUAAAUUAAACUUGUGCCCCUGCAAAUAAGUAUCCACGAAAUUAUAUACUACCAUUUGAAUCACUUAUAAUUAUAUACUGUAUAUGGUUGGUCCAUUCUUAUAUAUAUUCAAUCGUUUGCUUAAAUUUUUUAUUUUUGAUUAUUGUGAUGUUUAAGAUGCAUGUAUUUGGGUAUAAGAUUGUUGUUGUGUGAAUAAACAAAUUUUUGACAAAUCUAAUAAGCAGAAUAUGAGGGCCAGUGGCGGAUCUAAGGGGGGUCAUGGGGUAUCACUUGACACCCUGAAGUUUUGUAAUUUUUUUACUAUAUAUAUUCAAUUUGUUAAUUUUUUUAAAUAUAUUUAUUACCAAAGAUACUAUAUUAUAUCUUCUAAUAAAGUAAUAUCUGUUAAAUUGUUUUUCAUUCCCAUAAUUUAAGGAUUUUAUAAAGAUCUAGAAGAUCUUACAUAAAUAAAAUGUUAAAAUAUCUUUACAUUUAUGUACAUAAUAGAAAAUUACAAUUUUUUAUGUGUAUUUUUCGCCAACCUUCUAAAAAAAUUAAUUUUGAGUUAUAUCAAAAAAAAAAAAAAAAUUCAAUCAACAAUCUCUUUUUUCUUGUUCAUCCAAUCACAUCUAUUUGAAUUUUGGUCUUUAACAUGAUGUUUUAGGCGCAGAGGUGCAAGUUUUGUAUGGUGGCAUGCUCUCAUAUAAUUGGGUCGAGUUGGUGGGGUCUCAUAAUCCGACGGUAUCAUCUCAUGGCAUGUUGUUCAAAAUUGUUUGUGUGGUUUCUUUAUCAAUAAAUUGUGAAUUAUAUAUAUAUAUAUAUAUAUAUAUAUAGAUAUAAAAUGACGUCUGAAAUGAAAUAGACAAAUUUUUGAAGUAAUUACUUACUUUUUUUCUUGUUUAUAUCAACUCUUGAUUAUAUUUAUUUAUUUUUAAUUAAAGUCUAUUUUACAUGAAAUGAUAGUUUUCUAGAGGUGUUUAAUUUCUAACAUUUUUUUUUUGUCUAGAUGUAUAACAUUCUUGACCCCCCUAGCAGAAGAUCCUAAAUCCGCCACUGAUGAGGGCGCAUUAUGUACCAUAUUAUCUAAGAUAUGUAGGCAUUCUGGUGAUGACAUUUAUUGGGUUGAACUAGGGCCAAGGUCCUGAUGCCUGAUAUGAUGGUAGUGAUUGUUAAGUUUAUUUGUGUUUUAGUUGAUGGUUCUCUUCCCAUUACAUGCACAGACCAUCAGUUCUGAUUUGUGUACUGUGGCGGAAAGGUAGAAUAGUCAGUAUAUUUGGUCGUAAUUUUAUUAAAAGCAUAAGAAAAAUGAAAUUGGAAAUUUUAUCCAAUAUAAUAUUAGAAUGAAUUUAAGAAUUUUAGGUUCAGUUCACCUUGAACUUCAGAUUUAUUUGUAAUUAUUUGUUAAUUGUUUGAAUCAGAACUUCAGAUCUUUCAACAAUAUAGCAUAACUACAAAACCAAGUACCAACAUUGAAUUAAACUGCUACUGGCUCAUCAUCAGGAAGGAGAGUUGUAAGAAUGAGACAGUUGUAAAAGGAGCAAAAUAGGGUAUCCAAUUAUACUUGAUCUCUUUUAAAAUUUAAAAAGAAGGGUUAGCAAAAGUAAUAGUAGCAGUAUUGUUACUUGGUUCUGCGCUGCAGCACGUUUUACCUACUUGAAUCUUGAUCAAGUUCAACAAAGCGGCAAUUAAAGAUGACAACUUUGAAGUUUAAAAUAUUCCUGAAAAUGUCCAAUUCUAUUCUAUGAUGCAUUGUGAUAUAUUCCGUAUAUGAUUUGAAUUUGAUUGAAUUGGGUGAAGGAUGAUUCUUAUCCUCUUUUGGGUAGUUUGAGGCAAAUUGAUCGAAGAUUAAUAAUGGAUGAUAAUUCAUGCUGGAUUUAAAUGCAAUUAUGCAAAGAUCAAGAAUGAUUCUUAUCCUAAGUCGACAAAGAUUCUUGAGCUUUAGAAACAAAAUUGAAGUAAUUCUCAGAAAGAUCAAGUGUAUUUUGCAAGUAAGGUAUGUUCCAAGAUCAAGUAAUGGUCUCUUAGAAAGUGUAUUAUGUUUUUAGUUUUAAAUCUCUUUAUUUAUUUAUUUAUGUUAGUCACGUGUUACUCACAUAUGGUGAUUGCCUUAAUUAGAAUCCUCUUUAUCUACUGCUCUAGCUAGUUUCUACUUUCUACAUUCUACUUUGCUUUUCUCUUCUCUUUUUAUGCUUAUUAGUCUAUUUGUUGUUCUUAAUUAAUGCAGGAGGUUGGCUUGGAAACUCAGUUUGACUAGUAAACAAGAUUGUCAAGGCAACCCAACCAUUUGAAUCAAUUAUAUAUAUAUGGUUAGUUCAUUCUUAUAUUCAAUCAUUUGCUUACAGUAAUUGGGUUUUGAUUAUUGUGAUUUGAUGUUUAAGAUAUGCAUGCAUUUGGGUGCUUUGACGCUUUAAAUUUUACUUCUAUAAGAUUGUUGUUGAAUGAAUAAACAAAUGUUGUUUGUGGUGUAUCUAAGUUGAGAAAGCACAAAUAAAAGAUGUGUUUACAAUAGAUUUUGAUGUUUUCCUUUGUACUACAUUUGAUUUAUGUUAACUGUAGAAUCAUUUUUCUUUUCAAUCGACGUUUUAUUCAUUAGUACUGUUCUUUAGGAUUUAGUUACAACCUCCCACGAAAAAGUAGAAGAAAAAUUGCACAUUUGUAGUUGAACGCCUAGAUAAUUCAAUAUAGAGGAAAUUUCAUGGAAGGUUCUGUUUGGAUCUCAAUUAAGUUAAAUGCAGUAUACUGUAACUUGUAUCCAAUACUUCUCUAGGUUUCAUUAUCCGUGACAAGCUGACUAAUUGUAAAGCAAAUUCCCAUUUAUCCUUAUACUGUAUCUUGUAUCCAAUACUUCUCUACGUUUCAUUAUCGGUAACAAGCUGACUAAUUGUAAAGCAAAUUCCCAUUUAUCCUAGUGUGUGACUGGAUGCUCUGCUCGAACAGAAACAAAGAUGGGGUAAACUGGUAAACUACAUGAGGAUUAAAUUUUCAUGUGAAAGUAUCUUAUGAAAUUGUCUGACAAUCUGCAAGGUGACUUAGUAGUAAAUUAGUAAGAAUGGAGAAACAUGAUUUGCUCAUUUAAGCCCAAACAUUUUAGACGCGGUUAUGUUACUGGAGUUCAGUGUUUCACAAUAAUUGGAAGUUUGUGAUUUUCCCAUUUCAUUCCGCCAUCUCUAUGCAAGGAUGAAAUAACUACGUUUGGGGUGCAAGUAAGAGGUAUGAGAUUUCGAUAGGCAACAUUCCUGGUCAAAAAUUGUACAUAAUUGAUUAUGUAUGCACACCACAAGUGGAAAUGGUAAAGAGUACAAGAUUAGGGUGUAUAAAUAUAACUUUAUUUUAACGAAAUAAAAAUAAAAUAUUACUGUAUAGUGAUAUUCUUAUGACUAAUGACAGUGGAGAAUAGUUGUGGCAAAUUCAGUUAACAGCUAGUAAUAAAUCAUAACUAUAUCCCACUUUUCAAUAUAUAACAACCAGAACAUUAAAAGUACAUGUUUUGUUGUCUUACUUUAUUUUAAGAAAAUAGAUCUACGAGCUUAGGUAAAAUGAUAGUUGUUUCAUCUGGAUAUCAUAUAUAACACAAUGACUUGUUUGGCUGUAUGCUCCAAACAUGUUAAUACUGUUUUCUUCACCACCAAAGCCACCGGAUUGUAUGGCCAAGCAGAAAGUAUCUUCUUCGAUUUGAAAUGCACUUGUUUUUGUCAAGCGAAAAUGAGCAGCACCUUGGAAAUGGAAGGUGAUAUUUGGAAAAGAGUAAAAUUCCCCCGGUUUAUAAGAAUAACAUAAUUGUUGCUUAUGUGGCACUCUCCUCACCUUCAACCACUUAAAGUAAUCCCUCAAUACCUUAGUCAAUUGAUUGUAGAUAUUUGGGACAAGUGUGGUUAAUGGUGCUCCACUAUCAAUAACAAAAUCAGAACUUCUAAAAACAUCCUUAGAAAUUCCGAUGUUUUUUCCAUUAACACUAAUACCGGUGCAAUUCAAAAGGUAAAGUCUAUCAAUUAUCAAAGGAGUUGUUUGAACCACGGCAUCAUUUUGCACAUUCUCAAAUACACUAUUUCCAAACUUUAUCAAACGAGAACUUUCUUCUCCAAUUGCAUUCCAAGGCAAACAAUAAGAAAAACGUCUUGAUGAUAGAGGUAGCUGUGAUAUAAAUGAAUAAGGCCCGGGUCCUAAUCCAAAUAUACCAACCAUUCGAUUAUCUUCACCACCAAAGGCCAUUUUGUUUUUCAAACCAAGCCCAAAUAUUACUUUAACUUUCUCUUCACCUAAAGUGUCUGAAAUAAAUGUCAUCUCAUCCUUUGCGAGCAAGCCAACUGUUUUACUGUGUUUGUCUUCACCAUAGUUUUGUUCUUCAUAUUCACAUAUAUCAUCAUCAACAUCCCCACACGACCGACACAUAAGGUCAUCACAACUUAGGUAGGUAAAUGAACUUGACUGUUCAUAGUUGAAGGAACUCCCUUCGAUUUCAAAACACCUUUCACAAUCUUGAGCCUGGACCCAAGUAAGAUGGCUCCCGGUGUCGAGCAGUAAAAAAAACUGGACUCCUGGUGUACCAAUAAUUAAAGAAACCAUAUAAUAACCUGAUAGCAGUUGCGCAAGACCAAAAGUAGCAGCCAUAUCUUUCUCAAUUUUUGUUCUUGAUGAUCCUAUCCAAUGUGCCCGAGAAACGGUAAGAUCUAUCAAUUUUUGGAAUCUUUCUUCUUGGGUAAGAUUUUUCUCAUAAAGUGGUGACUCAGGCGAGUCCAUUGGGAUUAAUUUCAUGCUAAAUCCUUGAGUUGCACAAACCAAGUGAAAGAGAAAGAAAAGAACCAAGAUAUGCAUACUAGGAGCCAUGUUGCUGCCAACAAAAGAAAAAAUUAAAUUAAAAACUUGUGCUAUCGAACUUGCAACCUAAAUAAACCCGUGUGUAUACCAAUAUAUUCGUAAUAUUUUAUGAUAAAUUAUGUUUAUAUUUAAUACAAACAUAUUGCUGAAAAUUUAAACAUUAGGAGUUAACAAUAUAUUUAAUUUUAUAAUAUUUGACUGGUCCGACCAGUGACUCAAUGGUCGAACGAUUAACCCAAUGCUUUCACUGGGUUGGUUCUGAUAACAUAGACAAAAAUUAAUAAUAGGUGAAAUAUUAGUAGCAAUUCGAAUUUUAAAUAUACCACAUUCAUAGGGUUUGAUGAAAAUAACAUUUGUUUUGUUAGACUAUCUAUGCUGUUUUCAUUCUACUUUCUAGUUUCUAAGGCCAUACAGUACCAAAUUUGUUUGUAUGUGGGUGCAUACUGAUACAGUAGAGUAGCACACAAGAAAAACUAUGUUUAUCCAGAAAACUAUAUUAACUUUAUUAAUCAAAAAGAAUAUACUGUUGUAUACACAUUACUACAUUAGCUAUUUUCUUAGGAUAUGCAAGGCUAGCUAUACAGUAUAUAGUAGUACACAAUAAUAAAACUAUGUUUAUCCAGAAAACUAUGUUACUAUAUAUAACUUUUAUUUAGUUAUAUUUAUCGAAAAGAACAUACUGCUGUAUAAAAAAUACAAUUAGCUACUUUCUUAAGCUAUUUAGUAACAAAAUAGGGAUUCGAUGGCCAAAUUCUUAAAGUUUGGGUCAAUUUGUCAAAACCAAUUUAUUUUUCUAAUUAUCAAAAAAAUUACAUAACCAUAUGCAAUUCAUCAUAGAUACAUCUUACGACUUACAUGUUAAAGUGUAAAAUUACUUUUUUUCUGUAUUAUAGUGUAUCUUCCUUGAAGAUGGAAUGGUCAUUGCAUCUUUAAANNNNNNNNNNNNNNNNNNNNNNNNNNNNNNNNNNNNNNNNNNNNNNNNNNNNNNNNNNNNNNNNNNNNNNNNNNNNNNNNNNNNNNNNNNNNNNNNNNNNNNNNNNNNNNNNNNNNNNNNNNNNNNNNNNNNNNNNNNNNNNNNNNNNNNNNNNNNNNNNNNNNNNNNNNNNNNNNNNNNNNNNNNNNNNNNNNNNNNNNNNNNNNNNNNNNNNNNNNNNNNNNNNNNNNNNNNNNNNNNNNNNNNNNNNNNNNNNNNNNNNNNNNNNNNNNNNNNNAAUCAUCUAUUCUUCUUGUGUCCGACCUCUGACAUGGGAUGGACUUGUUGGCCAUAUUGGAAGAAUGAGAGGUUCUAUGGAUGAUGUGGGACUAAGAGCUUUUUUCUCAAUUGGCCAAAACUUAAUUAUAGAGGUUUGAAUGAAGCUUGCUGGUGCAUCCUCCUUAUGCUGUCUUAUGGGUUCUUUGGAAUGUUAGAAACGUAAAAAUAUUUGAACAUUGCUAUUGAUAUUGGGAAAGUGAUUUUAGAGAGUGAAAUAUUCUCUAUUUAGACAUCAUGUGCAGAACUGUUGAUGUGAAGAAGUGGUAUAAGCUUGCUGAUUUGCUGUUACACUGGGGCAUGUUGGGUGUAGAUAGGAGGUAAUGAUGGCUGCUCAGCUGUGGUUAUCAGGAAGACGACUGUUUGCCAGGUAUGCAGGGAUAUGUGUGCAGACAGCAUACUCACAGAUUGCGUGUUGGGAUGCUACUGUUAUGGCUACUCUGCCGGAGAUGGCCUGAGAGCUACCGGGGAUGCAGGUGGCUGAAUGAAACAAGAGUAAACUGCUGCAGAGUCUUCAGCUGCUGAAACUGUGCAGUUCUGCUGCUAGGAUGCUCUGGACAGUAAUGAGGAUGCUGAUUAAUGGAAGUGUUUUCGGCAGUGGUUGAAAGUUUACAUGUGUUGGGAAGCCCAAGUGUACUCGAGCAGUUUUGUUGGGUUGAGGACCUCACUCACCCAUUGUCAGGUAUCCUAAGCCAUUAGCGCUUGAGUGGUAUGCGUGGGGUGGACUAUAUAUUGUGAGGAAUGAGGAUUGCGGCAAAAGCCAAGGAGGGAACCGUGACUAAAUUAUGUACUAUAUGUCCUUUUCUGCUACACUUUUACUCGACUAUUUACUCGAUGAAUGAAAUAUUCCUUACCAAAAAGAAAAAGAAAAAUUAUGUUGCUACCCAAAAAAAAAAAACCGAUGUUACUGUAUAUAAUCUUUAUUUACCAAAAAACGUACUAUGUAUAACAAAAUAAUCAAGCAUACCCGAAAGAUACAAAGUAACAAAAUAAUCAAGCAUACCUGAAAGAUACAAAGAGACGCAGAGACUAAGGGAGCUUUUCUCUUAUGAGAAUGAAUGAGAGAGACAGAGAUAG
rnacentral:lncRNA from 1 species